UUUUUGUUUUUGUUUUCUUUUUUUACUUAUUCUUAUCUUCUUUUCUAUAUUCAUGAAUAGUUUCAGAUUUAUGGACUUUUAUUAAAUUCAUGAAUAUUUUUAAAUAUGUGAAUUCUCUUCAAAUUCAUGAAUUAAUUUUCAAAUUUGUGAACGCUUUUUAAUCCACGAUUCUAUUCGAAAUCGUGACUUUUUUAAAUUCACUGGAUAUUUUUGAGUUCAUAAACAUUUUUAAAAUCCAUGAUUUUUUUUCAAAUUUGAGGACAUAUUGUCAAAUAAAUGAACACUUCACAAAGUUAAGGAUAUUUUUUGAAUUCUCAAACAUUUCCCAAAUAUGUGAUUACUUUUUGAGUUUGUAAUCAUACGCGAAAUUCUGGAGCAUUUUGUGAAUUUGUAAUCAUAUUUCCAAAUCUAUUAACACUUUCAAAUCAGUGAAUAUUUUUCAAAUCCAUGAAUAUUUUCCGAAUUUGCCAAUAUUUUCCUACAAAUAUUUUUUGAUUUCAUGGACCAUUUUCAAAUCCAUGAACAUUUUUUAAAUUCACUAACAUGUUUUUUUCGACAUUCCUAAAUGUUUUUUUCAAAUCUAUCAGCAUUUUUAAUGCGCUACUUUUUUAAAUGAUUAAAUUUUAAUUCACCAACAAAUUUUAAAAUCGCCAAACAUUUUUUCUAGAACAAACUUUCAAAUCCAUGAAAAUCCAUUAUUUCUUAUAAAUUCUUGAAAAAAAUUAGUUCGGAAUAUUUUGUUCUAAUUUGAAAACAUUUUCUGUAUUCAUGAACACAUUUUAAGAAUCCAUGAAUAUUUUUGUUCGCAAUUUUUUUCCAAAUUUGUGAUCAGUUUUUAAAUUCAUGGUACUAUUUGAAACCAUACCUAGUGAGAGAAAAAAGGGAAAACAAAGGCAAAUUUUUAAGGCAAAAACACUAUAUUCAGACAUAAAUGUUUGUGGGGAUACAAAAAAAAAAUUUGAGACAACCUCGCGAAGCUUUAUUAAAUCGUCACAAUGUUUAUAGGGACGGAGGAUAAAUUCCCGGGGUGUCUCAACUACACGUGUCGGCCACCCCCGAGAGAUAAAGCAUGCUUCGCUAAGUUGUGAGCUUCAUAAUUUGAGCUCCUAAAUUCAUGACUAAAAGUGCAAAAAUCAAAAAACGAGGAGUGUUCUAUUAUUUCAUGUAUAAUGGCACUAUAGCUCGACGAGUUGUCCAUCUUCAGAUCUUGUACCACCACCUUACAGUCUGAAGCAACUUGAAUCCUUCGCUCAUACAGGUCAUCUGCUAACGCUAGGGCUUCUCUGAUGGCAAGAGCUUCCAAAGUCAUCGGAUCAACAAUGUGGUUGAAACAAAGUGUUGAGGCACCCAAGAACAUGCCGCUCCCAUCUCUGCAAAUAGCACCUACAGCCCUGAAUCCAUUGCUAGACACAACAGCAUCCACGUUCAUCUUUGCAUUGCCAACCGUAGGAGCCACCCAAGUCUGAGAUCGCGUUACAGCCGGCACACGGACCCCCGGUGAUCUCUUGUUGACAGUUUGCAGGUCGGCCAAAUAUUUUGUUAUGAACGUAUGAACUGAAUGAGGUGUUUGGAAGAUGUUUUCAUGAAUAGCCUUCCUCCAUAUCCCCCAGAGGGCCCAUAACGUGACCACCAGUUGAUCAAACAGUUCCCUUGGCAACACUUCCUACAUGGAGAACAGCCACUCCCUCGGAUUAUCCUCUCCCCGAUCAAUCAUGUGAGCUACGAGUUCUUCUGGUGCCAGUGCCCAAACACUAGCCGCCAUCGGGCAAGAGAUGAGAGCAUGUUUCCAUGUAUCGACAGCCCCGCAGAUCGGACAAGCAUCUUCCGUUGACAUAUGCCGAUGCUUCAAAAUAGUGCCAGUUGGCAUGGACUUUUGAGCGAGACGCCACACAAAAAACUUCAGUUUGGACGGAACCUGCAGGUGCCAUAUCAUAGACCAUUUCUUGGUUUCACUAGGAUCAUACGAGGUCUCGCCGUGCUCAUCAUACACAGCCUCAUGGGCGUGUUUUAAACGCAUAAUCAUCCUGUAGGCCGACCGAACAUUGAACCCCCCUCGGGUCUCUUCAUGCCAUGCCCAAAAGUCCUCGACUUGACAUGUGCAUAGCGGGAUCUGCAAGAUAGCUUCCGCAUCUCCCUGAGUAAAAACGGAUCGAACCAGAUUCUCGUUCCAACUAGCAGUUGUAUUAUCAAUAAGUUGUGCCACUUUAACAGGAGCAAUUGGAACAAGCGAUGUUACUGGGCACUUGAAAUUGUCUCUGAGAAUCCUAUUAUCACUCCAAAUGCUCGCUGUCUCGCCAUCACCUAUCCUUCGAAUAAUCCUAUGUGCCAUAACCUCUCGCCCGUCUAGAAUGGCCCGCCAUAUCUGUGAGGGAUGCGAGCCAAGUUCAGCUUGUAGCAGAGAGCAAUCAGGGAAAUAAACCGCCUUGAGAAUUCUAGCACUAAGAGAUGUGCUAUCCGUAAAGGUUCGCCAUGCCUUUCUCGCCAGGAGAGCAAGAUUGAAAAUCUCCAUGUCACAAAAUCCCAAGCCUCCCAGAUGUUUUGGCAACGUUAUAGUAUCCCAAGCAACCCAGCACGGUUUCCUCUUUCCUUGCUUUGAACCCCACCAAAAUUGACGGAUGAUGGAGGUGAUAUUCUCACAAAGACCUCGUGGAAGUCGAAAGCAUGCCAUGGAGUAGACGGGAAUUGCUUGAGCUACGGACUUGAUCAGUACCUCUUUGCCACCAGAAGAUAGCAGUUUUGCCAUCCAUCCUUUAAUCUUUUCCCACACUCGAUCCCUGAGGUACUUGAAAGUACCGUUCUUCGAAUGGCCAACAUUCGUUGGCAUGCCAAGAUACCGUUCGCUCAGGGACUCGUUCUGGACAUGCAGGUUCUGCUUUAUCGCCUCUUUCAACUGAACAGGGCAGCCCUUGCUGAAGAAGAUUGAUGAUUUCUCAUUAUUCAUCCUUUGUCCCGAGGCCAUACAAUAUGUAUCAAGUAGGUUUGACACCGCAUUUGGUCCCUCCACACUUGCCUUGAAAAGCAACAGGCUAUCAUCUACAAAAAGAAGGUGGUUUACAGUUGGAGCUGUAGGGGCCACCUUUAUACCUGGCACCGAUGAUUCAGAACUUGAUUUAAGGAGGCACGAAAGGCCCUCUACUGCAAUCAAAAAUAAGUAGGGGGAAAUUGGGUCUCCCUGUCGGAUACCUCUAGUUGGCUUAAAAGGUUCUAGCUUCUCACCAUUAAAACAUACUGAAAACGAGAUUGAGGAUACCAUACCCAUCACCACAUUUAUGCAGUGUUGAUCAAAACCCAACUUGGUCAUAAUCGCUCUCAGAUAGUCCCACUCCACGCGGUCAUAAGCUUUCAUCAUGUCCAACUUCAAAGCACAAAAGCUGUUUGUUUUUGCCCUAGAUCGCUUCAUAAAAUGAAGACACUCAUAGGCGCAAAUAAUAUUGUCCGUGAUCAACCUUCCAGGGACAAAAGCAGACUGCUCUUCAGAGAUUAUAUCAGGCAAGAUCACUUUUAACCUGUUUGCAAUGACCUUCGAGGCUAUCUUGUACAAGACAUUACACAAACUAAUUGGCCGGAAUUGAGCAAGAACAGUUGGGUUUGUUACCUUUGGGAUUAAGACCAGGACUAUAUCAUUAAUACAUUCUGCACUUUCUUCACCUUUCACAAUCUUGAGAACUAUUUCUGUUACUUCAUCCCCACACACAUCCCAGUGGCGCUGAUAGAAGUGGGCUGGAAAGCCAUCUGGCCCUGGAGCUUUGGUCGGGAACAUUUGGAAAAGUGCAACCUUGACCUCCUCCCUCGUAUAUGGCGCAUAAAGUUUUGUGUUCAUCACGGCUUUCACUUUCCUAGGAACGUGUUCCAGCACCGCUUCCAUAUUCUGCACACCCUCGGAUUGGUAUAGAUUCUCAUAGAAGCUCUUGGCUACGGCUCUGAGCUCAUCCGGAUCAGAGAUCUCCACUCCCAGCGAUUUUUGUAAAGCCUUGAUCAUAUUCUUCUUUCUCUGGAUACUAGCUCUUAGAUGAAAAAAUUUAGUGUUCUUGUCCCCUUCAGUAAGCCACACAAUCCGAGAUCUCUGUCGCCACAUGAUCUCCUCCCUAUGGUACAUUUCUAUCAAAAGCUCAUUGAUCUUUAGCUCUGCAUGGGAUGGGCCUAGUCUCGUAGGGUCACCUUGUAGUUCGGCCAGCGUCUCCUUUAGCCUUUUUAUCUCCUUUCUGACGCUUCCAAAAGUGUCCCUGCUCCACCUCCCAACAUCCUGCGCAAGAUUUUGUAGCUUGCGUCGUAGGUCAACCACUGUUGUGCAUGUUGGCCCGUGCCCCCAGCCCGACUGUAUGCAACCCUUGAACUCCUCAUGUGUUUCCCACAUGAGCUCAUACCUGAAAGGGCGUUGAGUCCGAUCCCUUUCCCCCUCCUCUAGGCGAAGCAAGAGGGAAGAAUGAUUCGACGUGACCCCCAUAAGAUGCGUAACAGAUGCCAGUGUGUAUCUCGCGAGCCAUGUAGCGGUAGCCAAAGCACGGUCAAGUCUGCACCUUGUAAAACUGCCUCCUGUCACUUUUUUCUCAAAAGUCCACUGGUUUCCUCGGUAGCCCAAAUCUAGCAACAUGCAAACAUCAAGCACCUCUCGAAAAGCCUGUAUCUGAGCAUUACUCCGCUGUCCAAUGCCAUGGUGUUCUUCCGGACGUAAAACCUCGUUAAAAUCACCAGUGCAUAGCCAAGGGAGGCCGCUCAAAGUGCUAAUGUUUUUUAGAGUCGUCCAUGUUUGAUGCCUCAGGUGCGUUUGCGCCUCUCCGUACACGCACGUCAUUCUCCACUUGGCCGUACCUUGUUCCUCAAUGGAAACGUCGAGGUGAUAACCAGAAUAACCAAGAAUUUCAACAUUUAUUGAGUUGUUCCAAAACAAGCCAAUGCCACCACUUCUACCAUCAGUACUCACAGCAUAAGAACUGUCAAAACCAAGCGUUCCCAACAAAGCUUCUACCCUAGUACUAUCCAUUUGAGUUUCAACAAUGCAUAAGAGGGUAGGGGUAAAUUGCCUCGCAAAAUCGCGAAGCUCUCGAAUUGUCACGGGUUUACCCGAACCACAACAAUUCCAGCAGAAUAUAUUCAUUGGGCCCGGCGGCGCUCCUCGAAGGAGCCUGCCAAUUAUGUGACAGUCUUGCCAUGACCGCCCAUGUUAUUCUCCCCAUCCUCAUCUAUCGCUGAACUCAUCUUGGUUCUCUUUGGUUCCUGUUUAAUGCUAGGGCUCUAGGGAACUGGCGGAGGCGCUGGCAGCUGGAGCGCCCCAUCCCGAGCCAAAGGAUUUGCUGCGAUAAUAGCUGAUUUUCCAUCCCCCGGCGAUUGCUUUCUAUCACUUUCUGCUUCAGCCAUAUCCAAGUCUGCCUCUUGAGCAAACUCCUCCUGUCCAGCGCUGCCUCCCUCCUGGCCAGUGCGAGCAUUGGUUCCACGCCCCCCCCCCCCGUCCUCCUAGGCGGCCUCCACGACGGCCUCGACCCCCACCCGGGCCUUGUCCCGUGCGCAUAACCCAUGAUGCUCUAAGAUCCUUGUAGACCAGAGCAGAAGGGGGGUGAAUACCACUGCCAUGCUCCUUGAAGAGGUGGCCAAGCAUGCCACAUACCGCACACCAAUCAGGUAGCUUCUCGUACUUGACUCGGUAGAUUUGACGUUUCCCGUCCCGUAUCAUUGAGACAACAUUCUUCAGUGGUUUGUUGACAUUGAUCCGAACCCAGACACGGUGAAAGUUUCCCGUGAAAUCCUGCGAUUGGGGUUCAGCAAACAGAACUUCCCCAAUUUUUGCUGCUAAAGGUGGCACAAGGUGAGCAUACAGGGGUGGAACAUCAUGUAUUUGCACCCAAUCUCAAUUGUAUCCAGCUGAAUCGUGGUUGGCUUCGAUAGCCCAUCAUAUGGUUUCAAGAUCACCGCAUCUCCCCUAAAGUGCCAUGGUCCAUCCAUUGUGAUUCGUUCCCAAUCUCCCAAACACGAAAACUGUACUGUAUACAGAUUUUCUUCCAGCGGUUUGAACUGAACCUCUUGUGCCAAAUCCCAGGCCACACGCAUGUUCCUGAAGAACCAAAAUUGGCUAUAGGUUUUGACCGUAUGAACCUUUGCCAGGGCUAUCCAGCGAGCUGCCUCCGCCGGUGCCUCCUUCUCAUCGAAGACAACAUCAUCUAGAUCCUCUUCCCGGAGACCAAGUUCCGCCAUUAAAACUGUCACAUCAUCCGUAGCUGCUGGUCCUGCCGACCCCGAGGCUCCGUCUGACGCCAUGAUGCUCAAAACCCUAACCCGAUCUAACAAACUGGGCUUCGCUGCAGGGCCCCAAACUUCUCCGCCUCCCUCCAAAACCCCUCCCGAUCGGCAAAACAGGGGACGCCGCCAGAUCGAGGAAGAGAGUCGAGGCAAACGAGUGGGGAUCGGGGAAAUCCAGGUCUCAACGGCGGCGACGUAGAUCGCCCCGAGAGGAAACAAACCCUAACGUGAGGGAAAUCCACUCUUGCAGUUACUAUUUUCUUUUGACAGGUGCACACGAGUUACUACGUAGUGCAAAAGCUGGUGAGGAAACAACCGGGCAUAGAAGGCCUUUGCUGGACGGGGCGUUUGCGUGAUCAGGCGUAAUAAACACCCUUGUGGGGAUACAAAUAAAGUUCAGAGUUACUAUCCCUCAGGGCCGGGCCCACAGUGGUACAAAAGGUGCGGCCCGCACAGGGCCCAUAUUCUUUAUAUAGGUAUGGUAAUAGUUAGCGCUACUGGGCCAGGCAUCGAGCGACGAGGCCCAUCAAGCGAGAGCGACCAGGCCAUCGAGCGCGAUCCUGGACUCCUCCUAUAACAUCUCGUCUGCUCGUCGCGUGGAGCCCUCGUGCCUCGACGCCUGCUUGAUGUCGACUCCUCGUCUCGCCUCGUCCCUCGGUGGCUCUGGCUCGGUCCUUGACUCCAUGGUCCUUAGAUCGAUCGGAAUUCGGACUAAGCGACAGGCCGCUGCCACGCUGCUGCCAUUGGCUUCCUCGUUUCAUUUCUCAAAUAAUAUAAGGGUGUCAUUGAAGAUUUCAUUUUAAAGAAUACUAAAAGAACGAGGAUGCUCAAAUAAUUAGCAAACAGGAGUUGGAUAGGUAUGACUUUUUUCUAUGUCAAAUUAUUAUGUAAGGCAUUACAUUAUAUACAUUAAAAAAAUUCGUGAGAUAUAUAUACAUUAUAAUUGUUCGUUAGUUCAUUUUUUUUUGAAAUAGAGCCCCAUUUUUUAGUUUCGCACAGGGCCCCGGAUUUUGCCGGCCCGGCCCUGCUAUCCCUACAUGUCUCCCAGCAUCGAGGAUGCAUCCCAACAUCCAUACAUGUCUCCCUGCAUCGAGGAUGCAGGCCGCUCUGGCCAGACUAUGAGUCUCCAAGUUACUGUCUAUCUUCUCAUGUUUAAUGGUCACUGACGAGAAUCCAACAAGUGUGGAUUACAUAUCUUGUAGGAGUAUAACCGUCAUGUUCGCUUCAAGAUAGAGCUACAAAUCAGGGAGCUCCUAUUGGACGCUUUAGGUGCCAGGGAAGCUCCCUAGUGUUCAAGCGUCGGCACUGCUGGGCCGGCCUAAGUACUCAUUCACAUUUGAGAAAACAAACGGAAAAACAAGGGAAAAAUCACAAAAAACGAAAAAAAAAUCAGGAAUUCAAAAAAUUUCAUGGAUUUUGAAAAAAUGUGCACGAACUUGAGAACAAUUCAUCAAUGUUGAUAAAAUCCAUUGAAAUUGAAAAAAGUCAACUGAAUUUGAAAAAAAGUUCAUCAAAUUUGAAGAAGGUUCAUUAAUUUUGAAAAAAUUCAUCAAAUAUGCAAAACAAUUCAUCGAUUUUGAAAAAAAUUCAUUAAAAUUGAAAACAAAAGUUCAUGGAUUUUUUUAAAAAUGCAAAAAUUUGAAAAAAAAAGUUCAUCGAUUUUUUUGAAAAAUCAUCAAAUUGAAGAAAAAUUUCAUGUAUUUCUGAACAAUUCAUCGAACCAGGAAGAAGAAAAAUGAAAGAGCAUAAAAGGGAAAGGAAAAGGAAAGAAUAAAGUUGUAUCUUCCCAGAUGCUGCUGGGUGGUGAAGUGGUUACACCGGCGUAAUUACAUGAGAGAGGUCGCUCGUUCGAAUCUCAAUCGGCACGCUUGUUUUUGCAAACUAAAACACAACUAGUUGGGCCAGCAAGUGAGGGGCGCUUCAGGCGCCCGUUUGUGAAAUACACCUCCUUAGCAGCGGAAGCGGGGGUUAACUGCAAUUAUUUAUUAUGUUUACUGGGUUAUGAAUUCUAAACCUUUUGGUUACAAGUUUAUGCAUCUAACCAGUUCAUUCAUGAGUUCAUGCUAAUGGAUAAAGGUUGGCUAUGCAUUUAUACAUCAACACUUUCACUCACGAGUGGCGCAGUCAACUUGAACGUGCAUCGAAAGUGGACUGCAAUUUAAUUGGGCCAGCCGGAUCUUAAACUCAAGACCUCUUAGCAAGUGAGGGGCGCUUCAGGCGCCCGUUUGUGAAAUACACCUCCUUAGCAGCGGAAGCAGGGGCUANNNNNNNNNNNNNNNNNNNNNNNNNNNNNNNNNNNNNNNNNNNNNNNNNNNNNNNNNNNNNNNNNNNNNNNNNNNNNNNNNNNNNNNNNNNNNNNNNNNNNNNNNNNNNNNNNNNNNNNNNNNNNNNNNNNNNNNNNNNNNNNNNNNNNNNNNNNNNNNNNNNNNNNNNNNNNNNNNNNNNNNNNNNNNNNNNNNNNNNNNNNNNNNNNNNNNNNNNNNNNNNNNNNNNNNNNNNNNNNNNNNNNNNNNNNNNNNNNNNNNNNNNNNNNNNNNNNNNNNNNNNNNNNNNNNNNNNNNNNNNNNNNNNNNNNNNNNNNNNNNNNNNNNNNNCCGGAUCUUGAACUCAAGACCUCUUAGCAAGUGAGGGGCGCUUCAGGCGCCCGUUUGUGAAAUACACCUCCUUAGCAGCGGAAGCGGGGGCUAACUGCAAUUAUUUAUUACGUUUACUGGGUUAUGAAUUCUAAACCUCUUGGUUACAAGUUUAUGCAUCUAACCAGUUCAUCCAUGAGUUCAUGCUAAUGGAUAAAGGUUGGCUAUGCAUUUAUACAUCAACACUUCCCCUCAUGAGUGGGGCACUCAACCUGAAGGUGCAUCGAAAGUGAACUGCAAUUUAAUUGCACCAGCCGGAUCUUAAACUCAAGACCUCUUAGGUUUGAUACCAUAUAAAACUGCACGCAUCAACUAAUUCAUCCAAAAGUUCGAGCUAUGAAAGAGUAUCGGACAUGAAAUCGCCUACAAGCUAGUUGGGCCAGCAAGUGAGGGGCGGUUCAGGCGCCCGUUUGUGAAAUACACCUCCUUAGCAGCGAAAGUGGGGCUAAUUGCAAUUAUUACGUUUACUGGGUUAUGAAUCCUAAACCUCUUGAUUACAAGUUUAUGCAUCUAACUAGUUCAUCCAUGAGUUCAUGCUAAUGGAUAAAGGUUGGCUAUGCAUUUAUACAUCAACACUUCCCCUCACGAGUGGCGCACUCAACCUGAACAUGCAUCGAAAGUGGGCUGCAAUUUAAUUGCACCAGCCGGAUCUUAAACUCAAGACCUCUUAGUUUUGAUACCAUAUAGAACUGCACACAUCAACUAAUUUAUCCAAAAGUUCAAACUAUGAAAGAGUAUUGGACAUGAAAUCGCCGAACUAGCUAUCCCAAGUAUGGGCAAUGGACCGCCCCACCCCCAGGCCUCCGCUUGAUAAGUAUCAGAAUAAAAAUACUUUAAAAAAGUGAUACUCCCUCUGUCCAUUUUUAUAAGGCUUUAUAGGCGUUUCAAACAUUAUGCAAAACAGCUCAAUUUCACUUGUCUGAAACGACUUAUAAAAAUGAACGGAAGAAGUACAUAACAACACACAAGGAAAACAAUGCUAGCGAUAUUUGUGUAAAAAAUGCAUAUCACGUCCCUAUUCUGGCAGACCUCUUACUCGGCGCAAAAAGCGCCGGCUAGGAGAACUCGCACCAUUCUGCGCCGGUUCAGUAGCAUUGUCGCUCGUCCCAUCUCACCUUCGUUCGCUUGAUCACGGUUGAGCAGUUGACUUAAAAAACAAAAACAAAACAAAAAAAUACAAAGCAAAAAUCAAAAAUAAAAGUUCAUCAAUUAAAAAAAGUUCAAAAAAUAAAAAAAAUCAUGAAUUUUGAUUUUUUUUUUCAUUAAUUCGGAAAAGUCCAUGAUGAUUUUGAAAAAAAUCACGCUUUUGGAAAAAGGUCAUCGAUUAAUUACAAAAAAUAAUUCUGAUUUUUUAUGGAUUUUGGAAAAAAUUGACGGAUUUGGAAAAAGUUCACGGCUUUAACAAAAAUCAUGGAUGUGAGAAAAGUGAACAAUUUUUGCAAAAAUAUUUUAAAAAAAUCAUCGAUUUUGAAACACAUCUAGAAAUUGGGAAAAACUUCACGGGUUUCAAAGAUAUUAAAAGAGUACAGGGAUUUUAAAAAUAUUCAUGCAUUUUUAAAAAGUUCAUGGAUUUGAAAAAAUUCACAAAUGUAAGGAAAUGUACAGAAAUUGAAAAGUUGGGAAUUUUAAAUUUUUUUUGCAAUUUUUAAGGAAAAAAUAAAUGAAAAGAAAAUGAAAAUGACAAACAGAAGAGAAGCCGGUGAAAGGAAAACCGAAAAAGAAAAAGAAAACCAAACAGGUUCACGUUGGUUGGCGUUAUAAGGUUUAGUGAGGUGAAUCACGAGGUUUAGUAAGGUGAACCUUCAUGGCAAGAACCUCCAGUUUUUAUUUGAGCUAGUCUUGCUGAUGAUGUAACUGUGAUUUCAGAUCAAUAAAACCCGCCAUGAUGGCUUUCCUGAAGAAAAAAAAAGGAAAGUUGUCCAGUUGGUUAUCGCGGUUUGUACUUUGCCAAGGGGUGUGGACUUUGAAUCUCAUCCGGCGCAUAAUUUUUGAAGCUUCCGAGAACAAAAAAUGGGGAUGCACUGGGCCUCCUUUCAUACGGCUCGUGAAAACGAGGGUGGAAAACUCAACUAUACUUCUCGUCCGUUCGUCGGCGAGGGCGGCGUGACCGCCUGAGCGCAUCCACCCCUGACGUCGUCGGGGAUAUCCCUCCGGCCGGCCGGCGCGCGCCACAGCUCACGCACGCACGUUCGUCGGUGCGCUUGGAGCGGGCGAUACGACAUUACAGGCGGCGGGUCGACGUGCCGCCAUGCCGGCACGCCGCACGUCUUGGGCUGAUUGGCUCGGUCCGUCGCGUGCGUGCAUGCCGGCGACUUUGUCUUGUCGCCGCCUCCACGCACAUGGAUAAGUAGAUAGGCACGGACAGAGUGGCCUUUAGUUAAUUAUUAGUUCGAUCUCUCUUCUAUCCGACACGUACGACUGCCGGCCGCCGUGGCUCACGCUGACACUCCAAGGCGGGCACGUGGGGGCCGCCCGGCAUGGCCGAUCACUGGCAGCUUCUCGCCGCCGCGCUGCCGACAUGUAUAUAUAUUCCGAUCCACCGCACUCGUCGUGCCGGCGGGUUUGUCUUGUCGCGGUGCCGACCGCGUGCGGCCUGUACACAUGCGGCGGGUAGGCACGGAUGACUGUGCGCAUAGUCACGCAGUGGCAGAUCGAUCAGACGCGGCGGCGCACGUACGUGCAUGUUCCGAGCAGCCGGCGGCCGGCCGGCCGCCGUGAUUCACGCUGACACUCCCCGGCGGCCGCGUGGUGCGUAGUCAGUUAAAUUGGCAGCUUCUGGCCGUUGUAUCGCCGACAUGAAUCCCGUUCAGUGCAGCAAUACAGGGCAAGCACGCCGCUAGCUAAUUUUGCAGUUAGUUAGAGGCCGGGUCGUCUCAAAUCAAUCUCAAACGUCCAAACAGCCCGUCCGGUCACUGAUCGGUCAUGAAAUUUUUAUCCAGAGGGACGCCUUAAACAGGCCUCAAACACCUGGAUUGACCGGCACGCCUCAUAUCCAGCCUAAAUAUGAGGCGUCUGGACGCGUCCGUCAUGUCAGACUGACGGCGGAGUCCCAUGCGAAAUCGUUCGGAAGCACGGCAGUCCGAAGCUCGUCUUCUUCGUUGGACCGAUGUCAUCGCGUGGCGCCGCUCCGACGGGCCGCGUAGUGCUUAGCCCGGCUAUUUAAGUCGAUCGUCCGCACCAAAACCCUACCCUCCACAUUUUCCCCCGCUUGCCCGCCGCCGCCGCUCCGACGGGCCGCGUAGUGCCUAGCCCGGCUAUUUAAGUCGAUCGUCCGCACCAAAACCCUACCCUCCACAUUUUCCUCCGCUUGCCCGCCGCCGCCGCCGCCACUUUCCACUGCAGGUCCGCUAUCACUAGUAGCCAUGCCCCCACGUUGUCAGACGAGGAGCUACCCAUUUCUAACGCCGGAGCGUCGGCUGAAGCUCCUUGAGAAGGCGCGAAGCCCGGAUCGCCUAGGGGCUAUCUCCGGAUGCAGUGGAUCCAGAGAAGGAGGAGGAUGUGGGGGACGCUGGCGACACGGAUCUGCAGACGGAGCAGCAUGCCAUUCUCGAUUCCCUUCGCCCAGAGCGCCGGCUGGAGCUCCUUGAGCAGAUCCGGGCAAGGCGUGAAGCCCGGAUCGCCUAGGGGCUACCUCCGGAUGCAGUGGAUCCAGAGAAGGAGGAGGAGGAUGUGGGGAUGCUGGCGACACGGAUCUGCAGGCGGAGCAGCGGGUCAUCCUCGAUUCCCUUCGCGUGGAGCGCCGCCUGGAGCUCCUUGAGCAGAUCCGGGCAAGGCGCGAAGCCCGGAUCGCCUAGGGGCUACCUUCGGAUGCAUGGAUCCAGAGGAGGAGGAGGAGGAUGUGGGGGACGCUUGCGACGCGGAUCUGCAAGCGGAGUAGCAGGCCAUCCUCGAUUCCCUUCGCCCGGAGCGCCAGCUGGAGCUCCUUGAGCAGAUCCGGGCAUGGCGCGAAGCCCGGAUCGCCUAGGGGCUACCUCCGGAUGCACCGGGUCCAAAGAAGGAGGAGGAGGAGGAUGUGGGGGACGCUGGCGACGCGGAUCUGCAGACAAAGCAUCAGGCCAUCCUCGAUUCCCUUCGCCCGGAGCGCCGACUGGAGCUCCUUGAGCUGAUUCGGGCGAGGCGCGAAGCUUGGAUCGCCUAGGGGCUACCUCCGGAUGUAGUGGAUCCAAAGAAGGAGGAGAUGUGGGGACGCUGGCAACGCGGGUCUGCAGGCGGAGCAAGAGGCCAUCCUCGAUUCCCUUCGCCCGGAGUCGGCUGCAGAGGCCAGACCCCGUCGCAGGACAGGAGAUGGAGGUGCAGCAGGCUAUGGAGGAGGUGAAGAUGCUCGCCUACAUGGACGAGAUCGAGCAGGAGAAGGAUGAGCCGGAGCCCUCCUACGCACCCGUCCACCCGACACCUGGCACCGAUGUCAUGGACAUCUCCGAUGACGAAGAUUAGCUAGGGUAGUACGUAGGAUUUUUUUUUACAUAUUUUGUAUGAAUCUAGAGGUUGAAAUAUGAGAGACUUGGAUGCAGAGUAAUUGUUAAUUUAAAGCGUGACCGGUCACCUAUCCGUGGAUGCGUCCGAUGCAUUCGAGAGAUCGAAUUUGUAAGUCCGGCUCCACGAUCGGCUCAAGAAAAAAUUUAUCCCCAAAGAUCGUCGUCGGCUCGUUGCUACCACCAUACCAUAUCGUUGUCAACUUUUCAUCCUUAGCUUCAUCGCGAUGGAUGUAUAAUUCCCAUUCGUUUAUCACGUACGGUUGUCCCUAUCGUGACGACCCAUCCAUAUGUCAGAUCAAUGCGUAGGAAGGUUGAGAAAAUCCCGCCGAAUCGUAAGGUACGUGGAAGCUAGCUAGCUGCUCGUCCGGCAGUCUUGCGUGCAUGCACACGCCUCACUGACGCAAUUGGUUGUGUAUGCAUGCGCGGCACGGAUCGGACGCUUCGUCCCUUCCGUGCCCAGCUAUACAACUUGUGUACACAUAAUAGUUUUCGAACAAGGAACCCAGCUAAGCUAGCCCGAAAUGGUUUUGGAAAACGUGAAGGCGCACGUCAUGGACCGGCUAGAGCUAUAGCUGGCUAGCUGGACCGAUCGAUCAUCGGGUUAACGUGCAAGAAUGCCAUGUUUCUAGAAGCCAACGCACUGUCGUCGCACUUGCACCCACCCUGCCGGUGUCCAUCCGGCUGGGCUGGAAUCGGUCACGGCGAAGCUGUGACUAAGGGCAUCUCCAGCCGUUGACCCCGACGCAUAAAAAUCGCCUUCUGGAGGCGAGCCGGUGAUACACUCAGUGCUGGAGUGGUUUUGCGUCCAGUCGUCGCCCCCAGCUCGUUUCCAGGCGUUGAAAUUGACCCACUUUGCAGCCCAAUUUCGGCAAACAAAGGGCCCAUAUGGGUGAGAAUAGGCCCAUAUUCGACGUGGUUUCGUCGUGUCUCGCCAUUCAAUUAUCAACACAAUUAUUUCUUAUCACAUAUUUCAUUACAGAAAAAUCAAAUACUUCAACAAAAUAGUACAACAACAAAUAGUUCAAUAUAAAUUAUAUAGUUCAACAAAUAAAAACUCGUAUUUUAUCACACGGCGUCCCCUUUGAGCCUCUAUAGGUGCUCAAUCAGGUCUUUCUGCAGUUGAUGAUGCACCUGUGGGUCCCGGAUCUCCUGACGCAUACUGAGAUAGGAAGUCCAAGUUGUCGGUAGCUGGUGAUCAACUUCGGCUAGAGGACCCUGCCUGUAGUAUGGUUCAGUGUCAAACACUGGGUCUUCUUGCUCGCUCUCGAUGAUCAUGUUGUGCAAGAUGAUACAGCAAGUCAUAAUCUCCCACAUUUGAUCUUUGGACCAGGUCUGAGCGGGGUACCGAACAACAGCAAAUCGAGAUUGGAGCACACCAAAUGCCCGCUCGACAUCCUUCCUGCAAGCCUCCUGAAGCUUCGCAAACCAGGCGUUCUUGCCUCCUGCCACAGGGUUUGAGAUCGUCUUCACAAAUGUCGAUCAUCUUGGAUAGAUGCCGUCAGCUAGAUAGUACCCCUUGUUGUAUUGGUGCCCAUUGAUCUCGAAGUUCACCGGAGGAGAAUGGCCCUCAACGAGCUUGGCAAAAACAGGAGAGCACUGCAGCACGUUGAUGUCAUUGUGAGUUCCUGGCAUACCAAAGAAGGAGUGCUAAAUCCAAAGGUCAUGUGUGGCUACUGCCUCAAGCACCACACUGCAACCGCCUUUGGCGCCUUUGUACAUCCCCUGCCAAUCAAAUGGGCAGUUCUUUCAUUUCCAAUGCAUGCAGUCGAUGCUUCCAAGCAUCCCAGGAAACCCUCUUGCUGCAUUCUGGGCUAGGAUCCGACCAGUGUCUUCCGCAUUGGGUGUUCUCAAGUAUUGUGACCCAAACACUGCCACCACUGCCCGACAGAACUUGUAGAAACACUCUAUGCUGGUGGACUCGGCCAUGCGCCCAUAGUCGUCGAGUGAAUCACUGGGAGCUCCAUAUGCAAGCAUCCUCAUCGCUGUCGUGCACUUCUGGAUGGAGGUGAAUCCAAGAGCGCCAGUGCAAUCCAUCUUGCACUUGAAGUAGUUGUCGAACUCCCGGAUGGAAUUCGGCUCAUCCGAUAACGACGCCGAAAUGUUCUCUCGCCAUGAAGUGGAGCAUCGGCGAAGUAGUCGGAGUAGAGCAUGCAGUAGCCUUGGAGACGAUGCCGGUUCUUUGCUUUCACCCGCCCCGGCGCCGAGCCACCUCGCCGCGGCUUUUCAUUGCUCGCCAGCAGCUGGGCGAGGGCGGCGAGCACCAUGAGAUGCUCUUCUUCCUGGACGUCGGCCGCGGCUUCCUCCUCCAGCAGCGCGGCGAGCUCUUCCUCCUCAUCCGAGUCCAUCACCGAGACAGGCAAAACGCCGAACACCUUGCGCUCGGUGGGCGUGUACCCGCCGUUAAACCGCGCCUCCGCGGCUGGAAACGGCGGCCGGAAACGUCCAACUGCUGUGGGAGGGGCUGCCGCGGCGAAGCGCUGCUAUUUUCCGGCGGGGAAUGGCUAUCUACCGGAGUAGGGCGGCGGCCGUCGCCGGGAUAUAGCUAGUGGUGGCCGAGGACGCGGGGGGUGCGAGGCGAGUCGGGGGAAGAAAACCUUAACUUUUCCCCUAUCGGUGUGGGCCAGGCGUGCUUUUCCCUAGCGCCGGAGCCCCCAACUGCUCCUCAGCGCGCCGGGUUCGGCCUGUGACCGCCGGGCGAAAAAAAAGUCUGAACUGGCGAUUUUCAGCGUCCUGAGAGUGCGACUGGACCGUUUUUUCGGCGCCGGUGCCGAAAAAGUGGCCUGGGGGUCUGUUGGGGACGUGGCUGGAGAUGCCCUAACGCACACCUGAUCGAUGCCGUGAUGCGUGACGUCUUGUCUAAAUUCCGAAACCAUGGACCGGCCGACGAGCCGGUCAAAUAACUCAGGAGGCAGCACGUAUAUAUGUAGCUAGGACGACGACGACGACGCAUACCAAGUCAUACGUGACAUGUGCGGCCGAUGCCGGCACGCCGAGACAAAUACACCAUUCAUUGUACGUAGUAUUCAACUGCUGCUAGCAGUUACGUUACGUACGUACUGCGAGUCGUCAUGCGUGUCAUGCAGACGGCAUGCAUGCGCGCACACGUCACGCCAGGUGAUGAUCGUCCUCUGGAUGGAGACGGAGCAACCAAUCGCGGCACGCACGCACUCACGCGCGUCAUGCAUGUCGAUUUAUGCAUAUAUGUUUACGACCAGGUAUGUAUGUACGUAUGUACGCAGAUAUCUAUACCAAUACGAUUGUAUACUCAGUAGUGUAGUGUAUUGCUAGUACGUCCUGGUCGCGAGGGAUGUCACGCGUGUCCACGUCGCCGGCUGCUAGCUUUGUAUUCCUUCCGUUCUUAAAUAAGUCUUUUUAGAAAUUUCAAUAUGAAUUACAAAUGGAUGUUUAUAUAUGUAGUUUAGAGUGUAAAUUAACUCAUUUUAUUUUAUAUGUAGUUCAUUUUAAAAUCUCUACAAAGACUUAUAUUUAGAAAUGAUGGGAGUAGUUCGUUAUCCUGAUCUAGCUGGAUCGAGUGAUCGAGAUCAUGCAUGAAUGGAGAGUUACACUGGAGCGAGCAUCUGAAAAAGAAAAGGCUCCAGGUGCUGCUGCUGCUCAAAUCGCCCUCUUUUCAAAGAACACGUAGGCAAGCGGUGAAGCAAAUCGAAUUGGGGAGAUAUAGAAGUAGUGGGGAGGCAGCGGAGUGGAGGAGGUGCCCACCAAAAUCACGUCGUCGACCGCGACGCGCUUUUACACGAUCUUCCUCCCAACACCGGCCGCCGGACGGCGCACUAUCAUCCAGCCUCAGAAUGUUUCCAAUCAUGUUUAACUAUCCCUUAACGGUAUAUUCUGCUGUGUCUACAGUAGAGGCUAUUGUUCAGUUGACCUAGAAAUUGUCAUUCUCUCCCUGCAAAAAUAAAAGAGCAAAGAAACUGCCACGUCUUUGCCGACAUUCAUAUCCAUUACAUGAGUAAUGCAUGAUUCUAAUUUAUCUUAUUUCAAAACGGAGGCAUAAGCUUUUGCCUCAUCUAUUAAUUAAAAAAAGAGAGAAUAGAGUUUGUUGCACACCACCAUUAUUUCUAGAGGUCAUUACUCUCCUGUUAUGAUACUACCCAAAUUUUUCGCAUCCGGAAUAGUCCAAAGUCUUGUUCCCUCUUGAUGGUACCAAAGAUGAUCGAUGGAAGAGUGGACUUGUGUCAGAAGUCUGAAGACACAUAAGUUUCUCUCAUUCCAAAUAUUCAAACUAACAAGCAUGAUGAAAGAGGCCACAACCUUUCUAUCGGGGUUGUUUUUGCCCAACAUGUUGCACCACCAAAUCACCAAUGCCUCGGAGAGAGGCACUGGCCCACCAGCGUGCACACAACAUGUGGCAAAACGGCCGGAUUCUCUUCAGUGUCCCAAAGAAUAUCAUCUCGGACAUUGAAGAAAAACUAUCCACUCAGAAGAGAUUUUCAAGUCUUCACUCGAAGAAAUAGGUUUGGAUUGAGUACACACCGAAAACAUAAAUCUCAACUUUCUCUUAGACCCCUUAAUAGUAUGUUUUGACCUAUGACUCAAAUAGAAGAAAAUGCAACCAGGACAUCACAUUCUUCAUUAUGCACUUAUUCCUCGCUACGAGUUGAUUGUUCUUCGAACAAGCAUUCCAAGAUAUUCAUUGUCAUUACAAAUUUUAGAGUCAUAACUCUCAUGUUAAACAAAAUACUUUGGGACUUCCACCCAUGUACACUCACAAAUAUAUUAGUCGCUUACUUUUUUGUCAUUAAUCAUCCAAAUCCAUGUAGGGGCACUAGAUACACUUACAAUCUUCUCUUUUUGGAUGAUUGAUGUAACAAUACCAGUUAAGCUUCAAGAGAUGAUAAAUUAAGUUGGAAGUAGAAACAUGAGGAUCUUGAAUUCGAAGAUAUAGAGGAAGCUCCCUCCUAAAGAUGUGCAUAUCGAGGAAUUUGCAUUUGAAUGCAUUUGCACAUGGUAGGUUUGAAUUCUGGUGAUCUCCUCUAUAUCUUGGAAUUUCAGGGCAUCCAUUGCAAUGUAUAAACUUGCGAGGAACAAUACAAUGCAUCUAACAGUGAUCUCUGAGGAAUAACCACAUGCAUAUAAUAUAGCAAUUUAAGCAUGCAUGAGGAAUACACGAGUUUAACGCAUACAGAGGAUCACAGACUUAAGAGUGUUACAACACUUUAUGAGGCAAAUCAAAGUUCAAGUGUUGCAACCUCGAGGCAAAACCCACCAAAGGACCCACGAAGCUAUUAACACAUUGAUCUCUCCCCCUUUGUCAACAAGUGACCAAAAAGGUCAAGAAAAAGUGGAAGACUACUCGUCCACAUGCUCGAGGAAGAUAUCGAUGAAGAAUCCAACAACGAGGAGGAAGUCGAAAAAUCAGCGAUGAUCAGAGCAGCUUCUUUGUCGGCAACAGGAGAAGUUGGGCCCGACGGAGUGUCUUGGCGUUGCAAGCUUGGAUCAAAUGCAGGCAAUGCGACAGUGUCGUUGAAGUCACCAGGGGUGAUCAUGAUCCCAUCCGAAGAGCUUGACCGUGGCAGAGGAGGAGUUGCUCUGCAAACGAAGUUUCCGCAAGGAACAUCACACGUCCGAUGAAGCAAAGUUUUAUCAUUAUCUAAAGUUAUUGCUAAUGCUAAAAGCGUCGAGUUCUUGUAAUGCUUUAGCAAAAGUGCAAAGAUUUAUCCUUGCCAUCAUGCUUGAUAUGCUUCGUUAGCGCUUGUUGUAGACGAACACGAAUCUUGUGGUUUGAAGGUGGCUCAUGGUUAGCUCUUGUACGACAGAAGGAAGGACCUAUGCCACUGGAUCAGGGCAAACACGCAAAGAUGCUUGAUCUUUGCUGAAAUGGAUUUGAUGUGUUGGAGCUUCAGGAUAAGGAACUAAUUGAGAGGUGCCCACAAUACCUUUGCCACAAUCACUAUGAGGAGCGGGAGGGAGACCACGAAAUCGUGGUAGAAGAUAUUCAUGAGAGGAAGGCUAGCACAACGGCCACUCACUGAUACCUGCACUGGCUCAUUGAUGCGGAGCUGAGUGGAGUUUUUCUUCUUGGGAGGCCGAGUUUCAAUUUCUUGAACCUUUCACUUUUUCCGAGUCACUGAUGCAGCAAUAACUUUCUUCAGAGAGGAAGGCUAGCACAAUGAUAUUCUGCUUCUGAGUACAUUCUAGAAUGGCAUUUGCUAGGCACGCCCACCGGGUGCUUUUCUUCUCAAUAUAACCUUUCUUCUCUUGCUUCGGCUCUUCUAUGUUGAGCAAGAUAGCAUUUAUCUGGCGGUCAUCAAAACUGAACUCAUAUCAGCCAGCUUCAUCUUGCCAUUUUUCAUCGACUAUCAAUUUCAACGUGAAGAUUUUGUAGCUCAUCCACGAAGGAUGUCACUUCCUCAAUUACGUCGUCGGAAAAAAGGCAUUCCCUCGAUGGGAGUGCACGGGUCUUCAGUCGAAACAUCCAUGAGAUCGAGGAUAGAUGUAGGAUGAAAUAAUUCAAAUUCUCCUUCAGUAGGUUUUGAAGAGGAACAUUCGGCAAAGCUCUCUUGCCGAGGUACGUUAUACUUCUACGCCAGAGAAAUUAAAUCAUCUGCGCUGCCAUAUGCAGAGCUCUCCAGAGGUGUUUGCUGAGGCAGUGGUGUGGAUGUGAGAAUGCUACUCCCGCAGUCAUUAUGGGACGGAGGGAGUAGCAUGGAGCUAUCUUGCGCUUCCCCUAAAAAAAUGCAGCAAAUAUGCGUCCACAUUUUUCAUAGUAUUCGAAAAUUAAGAAUAUAUCUCUACCACGCCUAAAAAAUCACUCAGCUAGUAUAAACAGACAGACUACUCCUUUUCAAAAACAAACAAACAAACAGAUCACUGUUAGGACACAUCAUGCUCCUCAUCCCCAUCCUCCACACCUGAUCCCAGUUCCUCCACGGCGUCCUCGUGCGGCACGGCAGCCGCCCCCGGUCCCACCCGCCAGUCACCAGGAAAGGUCCAGCCACCCCGGCAAUCGUCACCGGCCACGUCGCCCCCGUCACGAGCGGGGCUCGCCGAACCACCGCGCGGUCUCACCCCGCAACCGCGGCUGACGCGCCGCCACGUCACGCCGCCCCCCGCGUCGCACCACUUUGCAUGCACGCGCACACGGCCGCGCCGCGACCGGCGCGAGAAAGCCGCGGUCGCCGUCGUCCUCUCGCCGCGUGGGCCCCGCCGGGGAGAGAAACGCUCGCCACCGCGCCGGUGACGUACCCCACUUCCCGCCAUGAGCUCAUCGCGCUUUAUAUAUCCGGCCUCCCAACGGCCAUUGCCCAUCACACCACCACGGACGCAAGCAAGCUGCGCAAGGCACCCAGCGGAAAAGGCAGCGGAGGAGGAAGAAGAAGAGCUCCAUCGAUCACGUGCGUGCGUGGCCCGGCCGUCCGAUCGAGAUGUACCAGGCAAUCCCCUACAGCGCGGGGCGGCUGCCGGCGUGGCCGCGGCGGUCCGAGCAGGCCGAGGCCGACGGCGCGGCCGGCCAGGAGGGCGCGCUCGCCGACGCGGCGGCGAGGGGCGACGGCGGGGAGGCGGUGAGGCGGGCGGUGGCGGAGAGCCCCGUGCUGGUGGUGGGGAGGCGCGGGUGCUGCCUCAGCCACGUGGUGAAGCGGCUGCUGCAGGGGCUCGGGGUGAACCCCGCCGUCCACGAGGUCGCCGACGAGGCCGAGCUCGCCGCGGCGGUGGCCGGGGACGCCGGCGGCGAGGCCGUCGUCGCGCUGCCGGCGGUGUUCGUGGGCGGGAGGCUCCUCGGCGGCCUCGACCGGCUCAUGGCCGUGCACAUCUCCGGCGAGCUCGUGCCCAUACUCAAGGACGCCGGCGCGCUCUGGCUCUGAUCCUCCUCUGAGCAAAAUCAAAGAUGCAUACGGGAGGUGGUACUACGGACGUACGCACAGCCGUUUGAUCAGGAGUUAAUCUUUUCUCCUCUUUUGAUUUCUCCUUUUGACUCUUGAGAUCAUGUGAGUUACUGCUGCUCGAUCUUCAGUCUCUCUUGAUUGGGAUCAAUAAUGGAGUACUAGUAUGUACUAGCUAGCUAUAGUUAGGCUUAAAUUCUUUUGAUUAGGGGAUGAAAAGUUAGGAAUUAUCGUGUCAUCUCGUGCUUAUUUUUUCGACCACACGCUUGUAAGUACAUGGAUGAGUGAAGAGGAGUGUACUAUUUAGCACUGUAUAAAUCAUGGUCCUUUCAUCAUGCACAUCGGUUUUCUAGAUGCCAAUUCAUUUUGAUUUUGAAGGUUUCUCUUAGCGGGCUUAUGAUGUUAUCAUGAAAUGGCACUGUGUUGGAUAUUUGUAAUCCAUGGCAGGUGGUUGUUUGUUGCAGCCGAUUUUCCCGGCUCUUGUUCUAUAGUACUCCUUCUAUUUCAAAAUGUAAGACUUUUUUUUAAUGCUACACGUACGGUUCACCACCACAACACUCAAGCUAAGCUGGUGCUAGCUGCAAUUUAGUCGAUGUCAUGAUGAAUCUUAUCAGUGCAACAACGACGUGUGACGUGUGAUUUAUCAUCACGAGCUAACCUCACCCACGUGGCGCCCGCAGGAAGCCAACCAGCAAACUAAUCAUGAUACAUUUCUUAUGAAGGUUUAUUAAUUCAUUUCCACCCAGCAAAAAAAUCCCCUCUCCUCUCCUCGGAGUGCUCAAAUUGCCAUGAUUUUUCACAUCUGCUAGAAGCCGUUUCCAUUGUAGGGUUCAUUUGGUUAUUUAUUUGCUCAUGGUCCCUUUUGUGUUGUUGGUUUGAGCCAACAAACCCUCUAUCCCACAUGUGCGAUGUGCCAGCCGUUUCUCCUUUCUAUAAUUUGUGAAACAACGAUGCGACGACACACGAUCAAAACACCCCGAAUGAACAACACGAAUACCCAAAUGUCAAAAUGAAUGUUAGGUCGAUGAUGUGUGGGAUCCCACAUCAAAUCCACAACCAAGACAAUAAGAGCUCCCUUUUUGUCAACGUAGACAGCUCCCUAGGGAGUUUAGAGCAACUCCAGCAAAGUCGCCAUGAUGGGCAAAUCGCUAUGAUAAUCAUGAAUGCGGUGAUUCCGGCUACAAAAACACACUCUAGCAGAGGCGCCAUAUCAUGACAUGCCAUCGUAAUUUGUGGAGCACUCUCCAUAUCUGGCCUCUAAACCUCCACAAUUGGAGUCAAGGGGCUGCCUUUGGGGCACACUCCAUGUGGUAGUUGUGUAUGGUGGGAAAGAAACUUUACGUGGUCUCCCGUCUCAUGUGGGAUAACGUGAAAGUAAGGGAAAACGGAUUUCCCAUUGAUAAAUGGGUCCCGCAUGUGGAGGCAGCUAAAUAUGGUGACUUUGAGUUUGUGCAUAGUUGUGCAGGCUUCCAUAUUCAUUUAGAGCGCGCUUUAUAUUAAUUAUAUUGAAGCUGCUGAGGUGAUGCACAAACUCAAUAUGGAGACUCGCAGGGAUGCACAAACUGAAACUAAAUAUUUGCAUUAUGCAUUAUGCAUUAUGGCAUCGUCGGCAUGGACUAGGAUGGAGGGAAGUGGUCGGCGAUAAAUACGGCAUGGAAGGGGAGGCGCUGGCGUGCGAGGGCAGAGUAGCGACAGGGGAAAAUGUCGCUCGCACCAAACUAUUCUUGGGAUGGAGUGCACUCUGAAACAUUCCCCCACAAUGAAGACUCGCAGGCUUAAUUUGGAGCGGCCUCAUUAUGCCGACCGCACAUGGGAUGAUGACUCUACAAGACCGCUCUUUGCCCUGAAAAAACUAGACUGCCCUUUUCGACAAAUAUCGCCAAGCAGACGGUUAUCAUGGCAUCAAUCACCGUGAUUCUGCUAAAAUUGCUCUUAGAAGACGAUAAUGGUGUAACUUGCGGCAAGAAGCAAGAUGUUCAGUCACACGUCGGCAUGUCGGCCCCUAGGUGCGUGAAGUAGAAACCUACCUUGCAAAAAAUGACAAGCUAGCCACGACUCAACGGCACGUACUAUGUAAGAAAAUACAUAGAUCGCUACCGUGGGUAGGUUCCGGUGGGGAAACAACGAGAACCCCAUGAGUUGUCAAAGGGCAAAAAUAAAAACCGCACGAAAUGACAUAGGUGCAUGCGUGCAUCCUUGUGUCGUUUCUCUUCUCCUUUUUUUUUUCGCUUGCUGUUGCCUGUUGGAUGCGAUCAGAUCGACAAGAUCAUGCGCGGCACGUACGUGCAGGUGCCCUACGUCAGACUGGCCGGAAUGGCACUGCCCAACCAACUUUGGAUAGGACCCGUUUGUCUCCAUGAAACUGCUACUCAGACGACAGUGCUGUCCGAUCUAUGCACGACGUGCUAAUCCAGCCGCUGGUGCCCUUCUCAAUCAUGUGCAUGUCCGGCUGGAUUUAAGUAUCGUGCAUGAAUCGUGUGCAUCGUGUCUUUUUUUUUUGUCGUGUGUAUAGCACUGCUGUUGUCUCCAGCGGAGAAGAAAAUUCGACGACGUCUAUUUGGAGUAAAGCACACAAGUCGUACCACGUAAGUAGGAACCAAAAAUCCGAGUUCGUCAUGAGAACUUGAGCUCAAGUGGCCAAGUUGUGAGCGAGACUCCCUGCACUCACCCACCCAAGAUUAUCCAUACCCCCUAAAAUUUCACACAGUAAAAGUGAAGUUAGUUUCCUGUUGAGUAUUGAAACUUAACAUGGAAAUUCCCCAGCACCACUGCUAAUCCGAGGUAGACGCCGAUCAAUCUAUUGGCUUCAACAGUGAGAGCACUGACCAGCAGUAAGAUGGAGAUUGCGUACGUAUGAGGUAGGGCGAAUAUGAAAUUGGCCUUUGACCAUCUCCGGUGGGCAACAACCGUAGAACACAUGCGUCGCUGGCGUGGCAAUGCAUCACGCCCCGCCCGAUCAUGGGAAUUCCGCCUUUUCUUCUAACGGGAAAACGACGUGAUGAUGAUGAUGAUGAUGAUAUACCCUCUCUCAGCUUCUCAAGAGUAUUCCCUUGAGGUGAAAAGGGGUUACCGCAUGCGCAUGAGCUGGUGGAGCUGGCACGUCGCGCUCACGCGCAAUUCGCCCGGAUCCAGAUGAGCUCAGCAACCCGAGAAGCACGAGGGCGUGAGCCAACGAACGGUGGGUGAAUUGUGUUGAGAGAGAAAGGGACGGUGAAAAAUAUCAAACUGAAAUGGUCAAGACUUUCCAGAAGAUUUGCAUCACUUGGGCUGAGCGAGUCUAUGGCCAAUGAAUCGCCGGAAAGCAUUCUGAUGACGCUCAAAGCCUGAAAAAUACACGCAUGCAUGGGCAUGGCGACGACAUUCAGGCCACUUGAUUCUGAUCGCUAGGUAGAUCUGCUUUUCCUCGGAGCGUUCAAUUUUUCUUUCGCAAUUCCUAUCAUAAUUGAAUUGAAUCAAAUUAUUUCUCAAGAAAUUCAUGUGAAAUUCCCAUGGAUUUCCCGAGUUCCUUCCACGGCCUGAAUUUCACCAGUAAUGUACAGUAAUCUUGAUAAGGAGAUGACAUAACAUCGACACGACGACUCUGGGAAUCCAAAUUACUGUUCCUGAGCUAGCACAAUCUACAGGAGACGUGGUCACAGAUUAAUCGACUGAUGUCACCCCAAGGGGCAUCUAAAACUCUAGCAAGGAGUAUUAAAAACGUGUAGAAGCAAUCGUGUGACGACGACCCCGAUCGACAGCAACGUUGUCGCGCCGGCCUACGUGGCGCGACGAAGGCCACGGUAGGACGACGUGGGGUGGAGAUCCGGAGGAUCGCACCCUGACAUCAACGUGUUUGACAAGUAGCUACCCGGUGGUUGGAUGACAGUAGUACUCCCUCCGUCCGAAAAUACUUGUCAUCAAAAUGGACAAAAAAGAAUGUAUCUAAAACUAAAAUACAUCUAGAUACAUCCCUUUUAUUCAUUUUGAUGACAAGUAUUUCCGGACGGAGGGAGUACUUGAUAAUUAGAGAUAGCACUUGAUUAAUUACACAACUAGGAGUACGUACUACCGGUAAUGGCCUGCCAAGACGAACGGCUCCUGGCCAGUUGAUGUCACGCCCCUGGAUGUUAAUUGAGGUACAAUUGCUCAGAGAAAACAAGCAUCCAGGCUUCUUUGGAUGCUACCUAUCAGGGUUUGGUGUCAAAAACGUUCUUAUAUUAGAGGACGGAGGGAGUACCUAUGAUUAAUUAGGCUGCGGUGCUGCCUGAGCAUCAUCAAAGUCCAAGGGAAUGAACCUAUUCUAUCCUCCCUUGUGCCAAACCGACAGGACGGAGUUGUGCUGGCCUAUCACAACUUGCUUGAUGCCCGAAACGAACAUGGACCCUCCCUCUAUAAGGCUGGCUGGAGCGGAACAAAAGCUAGCUAGAUAGGAGGGUCAGGCAUCAAUAUCAUCAUCAUCAUCGUCGUCGUCGUCGUGAUGCAUCGUUGUUGUGUACCACUACCUGUUUUGAUGCCAGGGAACCCUUUUCUUUUCUUUAGAAGAAGAAGCACUUUAUAUUAGUGCAAAAAUACCACAUGGAUAUGCCGGUUUAUUGGUCGCGAUUUUCAUAUGUAAAAGCGCAGAGAAUAAAAAUGGAAACAUACCAUGGUACAACUACAGAAUACCCCUGGGAAGAAAAGCAUGGCUAUUUAUCGGCUGCGAUUUCCAUUGUGUACGUGGUGAACUGACCUGCGAUGCCGGGCGGCGUCUUAUCCAGACACGGAGAUGAUGAAGCCAUGGGAUGAUGGGCAAAGGGUGCUGCUGUCACGAGGUUGGCCCCGUGAAAGCAACCGGCAUGUGUGCACCCUGGCUCCUGGAUAGCCCUUGGGGCGAUGCAAGGGCCAAAUUGUGUUGUGUGUGUACAAAUCAUGAUAAUAUCUGGAUUGGGACAUGGGCAGGGUGUCAAGAUAGAUGAUAGGCUUCAGCGCAGCACGAACCUGGACAGACACAACAAAAUGAGUGAUGAUGAAGGCAAAACAACUGGGCAGACACAACAUGUGAUGUCAAUCAAAACGAAUGGAACCUUUGCACGGAUGAGCGCACCUCUCUGUCCAGAUCAAGCAGAAGAUACCACCAUGAAGAAGAAAAGGCUUUGUUUGGACCACAGCGGUUGGUUUCUCCAUGGCGAGGGAGGUGAAGGGGGUUCGGAUGCCGUACCUUCGCCGCGAACAUCUGGCACUUUAGAGUCCUUGAAUCAGCUGAAUUGCGGUGUUCUUGGUCCUUUGAGGUGGGUGGUAUGCUUGAUCCUUUGCAGAUCAUAAAGGGAAACAACUGAACCAGACAAUGGUGUUCAGAAGCAGCGACUGUUGCAGGCUUCGCACUUGAGUUAUCUGAAUCCAUCUGAAGCCUUCGAGCUCAAGAGGGAUCAGGUGUACAAAUCAGUGACCAAACUCAACAAACUUGCCGAUAUCAACAUUUCCCCAGAAUAAAUGUAAUCAGGAGGGGAGUGGGCAUGCAACAGAAAAGUACAUACAGGGAACAAAACAGAAAGACUGAAGUGUUUGCAUUACUCUGUUAAAUCAACAAAUUAAGGGUGCAACGUACUACAAAGAUGUGACUGAGUACAGGUCACGAAGGUACAGAUCGACAGCUAUAGAUUUAACAGCAGCCAGCCUUCUGGACUCAUGAUCAGUAUGGCAAUAAUGCAACAUAACACAGGCCUAGCACCGAACUGACACGAGCCGGCGAGUGAAGCGCAUGGGUAUCCAUUUCUGCAUUUCCAUGGACCUCCACAUUGACGGGUAUAUAUAUGGGAGCUUCUGAAGACAGCUUUCCAAAAAGGUUUGCUACUUAGUUUCAUGAACUGAACAAAAGCACAGUAGGCCCCUAAAGCCAACUGGCACCUCUUCACGAUCGAAAGUGUUUCUUCUACCUCUACAGUGAGUCAAACCACAAAUCAAAGUCAGCCGAUACGUUCGAGGAUCCAGAAGGUGGAGGUGCGUUGGCAUUCGAGAUGUUCUGUUGCCCCUGUACAGGUGUAGCUUGUUUCUGGUCACUCAGGCAGAAAGGGGUGUUGGCAAGCAAAUCAUCCACAGAAUCAUCGAUAGAUGUUACAUCAAUCUGCUUGGCAUAUCUGAAGUCAACGUUGCUGUUGGAGUCAAAAGUUGGGCGAGAAGAUAAACUUGAUGCAGCAGAACCAUCAUUCUGGACAGAUAAGCAUGUCUCUGAAAGCAAGGCAUCUAGAUCAUCAUCAACAGGAGAAAGUGCCAGCGAUUUGGACGUGGUGCUGCUAGACGUGACUUUAUCAUUUGACUCAUUGAUCUUCAUACCUACCAAAGCAGAACUACUUCCAAACGACUCAUCUAAGCUGGAGCUGGAAAGGUGAGUUCCAUCGAGUGAAUUAAGAAGCAUAUCAAGCUCUUCCUCUGGAGCAACCAUCCCAAGCUUCGACUGUUCUCUAUGCCCUGCAUUUGGAACAGUAGCUGUGAUUCCUGUGUAGGCUUCAGUGUCUGAAUGCAUAGGUCGAGGAAUAACUUUGAGUGAUGUUGUAGCUUCUUCUUCUGCAAAACAUUCCGACUGAUGAUGUGUUUUCAUUGGGUCAUCAGAAUGAAUGUUGCUGGCAUGGUCAGGACUAACAGCAUCUUUCCCAGGCUUUAUGUCCCUGAAGUUAUGUUGAACCAAACUGCCUUUAGCAUCAGACUCCAAUGUUGUGCCCAACUGAAUCAGUAUUUCAUCAUCUUCGUCUUCAGAAGCAACAGCCUAGGGAAUAACAAGAUGAAUCGGCUUAGGAGAAAUCAGAUGAACAGAUGGAUAUCAAGUUAAGCUGAACGGCUUUGAAAGAGUCUUAAGCAUACAUCCAUGUUUAGCAUACAAGAUCAUAAUGUCACCAACUCAAUAUUUAUAAAAUAGGCACAUGCAUACAACUUCGGGGUCCUGGCUCCUGGAAUUAGGACCUUAUAGACACAUGCAUCAAUAUUGAUGCCUUGAUGGCUCAGAUGAGCACCUCAACAGGUCAACAGCAGCUUUAUCUCAAUACUGUAUGAACCAUAUAGACGACAAAUUAAGGGCGGAGGGUUUAAUCAUCCAAGUGUAAUCGGCCAAACAGUGAAAUAGGGAUAAAAUGUCCACUCAAACUCAUUGCCCUAUAUAAUCAUUAUGGGUGGGUACUGCUCCAAUGAAAGGAACAAACGUGCUCCUCCAAUGAAAAUAACAUCAUCGGAAUAAUACAGAAGCUUAUAUAAAUUUUAUUGCUUCAAUUAGCGACAGAGUAUGUAGUGCAGGAAAUUGCCGUGAUAGUGAAUGCAGCAACAAGCAGUGGCCAGAAUAGCCAAAAGGUCAGAUGCUGAAGCACCCUAUCCUUGUUGCAGAAAAUUGGUAGAUCAGCGGAGAAAAUGGUAGCAUAACAAGGCAGAUGGGUUAGCUAGAUGGUUUGCGAAAGUGCACAUAAAUAUUUAGAUUGCAGCAAUUGAUAAGGUUUGCAUACCAAAUGCAUAUGUUUAUGGUAGUGUUCGUCAGGAAAUAUGAAUUUAGAUUGAAGGUUUCUUCGUGUACAGAUUGGAUUAGAGUUUAUCAUCCAUUUUCAUUGAAUAUAAGAUGGACCUCUCCAAAAUCUACCAAAUCAUCAAUUCGUUUACACCUCAUAAUAUAUUACAUGUGAGAUAAACUACUCUAUCUAUCAGCAAACUUGCUGCACCUAAUGCCAAAAUCUACCACAAUUAAUUUACUUCAUUGCCAUUUGUCAAAAUUAACCUCAGAGGUUAUUAUAAAACUGGAAACUACCAACUGAAAGGAAAGUACCAAUACGAAACAAAUUUAGCAACUGGAAACAGAAAUUGCAGUACUGUUUUUACUAAAAGAAGGCAAUCUUAGUACUCUUCCAUGAUUCAAUAUUUAUAACAUCUGCGAAGCUGGACACGGUAGCAAUAGAACAGAAUGUAGUACCAGAUCCUCGGGUAGUAAAUCUUCUUCCAUAAAAAGUCUCUGGGAGAGCUUAAUCUUUGAGAGCUUGGUGGCCAAUGCAUGGAGAUCCAUGGAGAGAAAAGGCACCUGAAAUUAGAAGAUCGUAAGUAAAAAACCACAAGGGUCCACCAAUCCAAAUAAAGUUCUACAUUACUUCAUAUCCUUUUCUGUUCAACAAUCUAAUACGCUAAUAUUGACUAUUUGAUCCAAACACAUUUUCCUUCCAUAAACUUUGACAGGAUGCUCAGACAAGGAAGGGACCAAGGGCAACUCCUGCCAGAAUCCCAUGCAUUUUUGAACAAAAUAUUGCUCCCAGAAAAUUAUCUAUACCAAUUUUAACACAAUAUCAAACCCAACGCUUGUGUAGAAAGGCAGGGAUUGGACCUAAACAUCACCUAUCCAAACAAGCAUCAAACCAGGUUGUAGAUUGCGUAAAAUAAUACAUUUCACAAACAUGAUAUAGCAAAGUAGCAGAUCUGUACCUCAAAAUCUGGUGCUAAAUCAUCCUCUAAUAUGAAAUUAUCGUCUUCAAACCAGGACAUGAUCCCUUCCCCUUUAGCCUCAAGCAUAGAUGUAGAAGCCUGCAUAAAAUCUAGAAAAGGAAACAUAAAUGAAAGUCUUAGCACCACUACAAUAAAAGCAGUCUCAUAAACAAUGGGCCACAUCCUAAUGAACAUGUGGUGCUAUGUUCAGCGCGUAAAAACAGAAUCCACAUAUCAAUUUUGCCAACAUUAUGUGUUAACUCACUGUGGUAGGGAAUUUUUAAUAUGAGUCCAAAUCAAUCAAGGGAUAUAUGCUCAAUUCCAGCCCUUAUAAUAACACAGUAGCUAAUGAUGAAAUGCAAAGUAUACCUUGUGAUGUUUGAUGCACUCGAUUCUAAGUCUCGGUAUUAACACGAUUAGGAACAGAACAUAUUUUACAUUAGCAUUGGCAGCACAGAUUAAGUCAUAUUUGAAGCAAUGAUAGCACGGAUCACCUAAUUGACCUAAACAUGAUUGAAGCGACGAACUGAAUAAGCUUGCUCAAUGAACAGAGGGAGGUAAAUAACAUAAUCCACACUCAAUUUACAGAAAAACUAUGAAACAGAGGGUGAGUAUCAGGCACGAUAUUGUUGGAAUUUUCAACACUGCACAUAAUCAAUCUGUCGGGCAUCUUCUUAAUCCCAGUCCUAACAAGAGCACCGUAAUUACUACUGAAAUGCAGAGGAUGCCUUGUGAUGUUUGAUGUACUCGAUUCUAACUUGGCGCCGCCGUUAACAUGAAUAGGAACAAACUAACAAAGCAUUCCUUACUUUAGCAAGUGUUCGCACUACAAAUCUAGGCGUAUUUAGAGGAAGGAUCGCACAAUUGACCUAAGCAUGUUUGAAGCGACGAACUGAAUAAGCUUACUCAAUGAACAAACAGCGGCAAAAGAUGCUGAAAAUAAAUCAGAAGUGGCAGCCGAAGCUGGCGGCGAGAGCUCACCAAAUGGGGAGUCCUGGGAGGCGAGCCGGCUGGCCGCGCCGAGGCCCCGCUCCUCGAGGGGCUGGGCCCGGGCCUGCUCGAGCAGGAAGGCGAAGUCGGCGCCCUUGCUCCGCGGCGCCACCUCGCCGGCCCAUUCCGCGGCGUCGUCGGCCUCGGGUUCUUCCUCGAAGCGGUCCCAGUUGGAGGGGAGGUUGCGGCUGCGGGGGGCGGAGGAGGAGGAGCCGCCGCCGCCCCCGCCGGCGGCGGCAGCCGCGCGCUUCUGCUUGUGCGCCGCGGCCGCCGCGGGGGUCUGGUGGGUCCGGCGGCCGUGCACCGUGUGCGAGCGCUUCGACCUCGCCGCCGCCUUGGGAUCCAUCGGAGGGGAGCAGCGGAGGGAGGGUUUCCGCUGGCUUCGGCGGUGUGUCUCGAUUUGCAGUUCAACCCCUGAUAGUCUUCGUAAGAACAAAUGUGUGUUCACUUGUUCACCGAGGGUCCUGUAUAAAUUAUCAGGGGUCUAUUUAUGAUUAUACACUUUCACGAGGGCUCUUAAGCCUUUAGGACCCAAGGACAGUUCCUCAGAGGACAGAGCAGAGAGCCCAGGUAAAACCCUUCCCUUCCGUGGCUGGCUUGACGGGCGGCGGCGGCGGCGAUGCGGUUCACGGCGUCUCCGGUGGUGGAGCUGCCGGUGGGCGGCGCGGUGCUGAGCUUCGAGCAGGACAACGACUCCUUCGAGGUGGGCACCUCGGUCUGGAACUCCUCCCUGGUCCUCGUCAAGUUCGCCGAGCGCUGCCUCGGCGACGCGGCUCUGCCCUUCGCCGACGCGCUCCGCUUCGCGGGUGCCCGCGCCAUCGAGCUCGGCGCCGGAUGCGGGCCCGCCGGCAUGGGGCUCUCCCGCCUCGGCCUCGCCGACCUCGUGCUCACCGACACCGCCGCCGUCCUCCCGGCGCUCCGCCGGAACCUCCGCCGCAACCGCCGCCACCUCCCGCGCGCGCCCCGCCUCGCGCAGCUCCACUGGAACUGCCCCGCGCACCUCUCCCAGCUCGCCGCCCCGCGCCGCUACGACCUCGUCGUCGCCGCCGACGUCGUCUACGUCCAGGAGUCCGUGCCCCACCUCGUCGCCGCCAUGGACGCGCUCGCCGACGCCGAGCGCGGCGUGGUGCUCCUCGGGUACCAGAUCCGGUCCCCCGAGGCGCACCAGGCGUUCUGGGACGCCGUUCCCGCCGCCUUCCCCGUGAUCGAGAAGGUGUCCCGGGAGCACCUCGACCCGGAGUACGCCUUCGAGGAGUCCGAUGUGUUCAUACUCCGCAGGAGGCCGCGGCAGUGAGAUUUAUUCUUGUUGCCAAACAUUUGCUCGUCAUUUACAUAGCAGGUUUGCAAGAAUUGCUUAUUCCAGUUCAAAAGUAUGAGUAUUUAGUUGUGAUGGCUGGUGAAGGCCUCUGAUAUACAGUGCUGAAUGUUUGGCUUCCAUGGGUUAAUGUUUAAGUAACAUGUUAAGUUUCGCCUAUGCUUUGCGGUGUAAACAUGUCAGGUAUUUCAAGUUCAUGAUCGCAUUUGUCUGUUGCAUUGUGUUUGUGUGAUCGACAAAAAGGAAUUCAAUGUGUAGACUUAAUGGAGUUGUGGUCACUAAGCAUCUUAACACGCAACUCCUGUGUCAAAAUCAAAUCUUCUUGUGAGUGACACUCUGCCUUGAUGAACUGAUGAAAUGCCCCUCUUUCCAACUAGGGUAAGAGAUUAACUGAAUGUGACUUUAAAUUCAGAGAUAAUUAACUCAACUUCUGUGUCGAAAUCACUUUGCGAGUGACACUCUGUUUUGAUGAACUGAUGGAAAACUGGAAAUAUCCCUCCUCCCAACUUGUGCAAGAGAUAAUUGAAUGUGACUCCUGGGGUAUGCAAAAUCUGGCUGAGUACACUGAGAGGAUUUCGCCAUGUCUUCUACUAUCGUUUAAAGCAAAUAUGUUGCUGCUGUGGUUUUAUCGAAGAGUGGUUAAAACCUGAUAAGAUUUUUGAAGGAGCCACUAGUUCUGGCCUUUUGGGAAGUGCGGUGCUUAUAAUGGCUUGAACUUAAAAAUACAAUGUUUCUGUUUCCGCCCAUGUAGUUCCUUUUGGCACAUUGAAACCGUGCUGUAUGCCGAUUGCGCCCUUGAUGGGGCGAAUCGAGUUCCAUUUCCCCUUUUUACUGUUUGGUGUUGAACUUGAAGGGUGACUGGAUUCAAGGGAGUGAAUUGUCCAUCAUGGAUGUGUCGUUGAAGCCUGGAACAAACCAUGAUGCCGUGGGACUUGCACGUAGGCAUGUGUCCAGCCUGAAGUAUGCCUCUUGCUUGGGUUAUGUCUCGGGGAGCUGUACCACAAAGAGGCCUCAGAUGAUUAAACAGUUUAUGCUCUGCUCAUAUUUGUCGCAUUUUGUAGGGAGUAUGGUCAGCCUUAUGUUGAUCUUUUGGGAACUUUAUUUAGAUCUGUCUAGGAGUAAGACCUGAGCAUGGACAGACCGACUUAUUGAAAGCAAUCAGGUGUAGCUUGGGCUCCAGUUCUCCACCCAAAACCCGGUCCAAAAGGCCAAAACUUGUGAAAUGUUUUAUUGAUCGGAUAUAAAGUCUUGUAGAUACAAGAUAUACUCCCUCCAUUUCCACAUGAAUUCGCAUAUUAGGUCUCACAUCAGAAACAUGAUGUUCUUUGUCUGGGCACCUCUGGUCUUAUUUCAUCCGGCACCUCUGGGUAUUUGGAUUCUUCAAAGGUAGUAUUAGUUAUUAUAGCAGCUGUAUAUGAACAUAUACAGCUGUGGUGUCUAUGAUGUUUAAAGGCAAUAAGUUAUGGUGGAAUGGAAAUUGUAUGAUAAGUGCAGUAAGUAUAGCAGGUGUAUGUGUCGUUCAUGCUAUGAUCUGGCUCAAGCUUAUGGACACUAUUUCUAAGUCGGAUUGUGCUGUGUAAACCAAGGUAGGUAUUUUAUGUUUCCAAACAGCUUCGAUGAUACCAAGCAGAGGACAGGCAGCACUGCUGACCUUCUGCGCUUGCAGUAGCCUGGUGAGCGUUGGGCUUUGCCCUGUCAAUCGUGGUCUCGGGAAGUGGGGUUUUCUGGCUUAUGACCUUGAGCCCUUUGGCGUGUGUCUCUGCGAUGCACUCUACUAGCCUAAUUUCUGGAUGAGACUUACUACAAUACAACUGUAGUGACUAAUUCUGUUUUGUAUGGAUGCUCCAGGUAGUACACUACUGGAAAAAAGCGUCGAGGAAAGAAGAGAUCAAGAUGGUCUUGUCUGGUAACAACAGGAGCGCAUUGGACUAUUGGAGGGAGGUUCUCGUGCAGGCUGAGCAGAUGAGGAAGGAGCUCAAGUUGAGUGAGAAGGGGGAUGGUAUAUGUGAAGGGGAUAUUGGAAACAUGGGCAAUAGCUUGAUAUAUGUGAGUCGUGCAGUAACCAAACAAAACCGUUCAACCCAGGUUUUCCUGUGAUGCACUGCAGCCUAACUGUAGUUUGUAUCCAAAGCCCGGAUGCUUGUGCUUCUCUCCCUGUUUGUAGCUUGGGGUUUUCCUUUCACCGACCGCAUAUAUAAUUUUGCUUAACAAAGACCAGGUCCUGAUUAGCCAGAAUGUUCCUUCCACCAGCUAGGAUGGGCUGGAAGACAUGGCAGUGAUCCAUGACGUAUUCAUGAGUCGUUCAGGCAAAAACCAUUGCUGGUAGAACACCGAUAAUGUGUCUGUCAUCCAACCACUAAGCUGGGCACUUGUUCAAACCUUGUUGAUGCCCAGGAUGUGAUGAUCUUCCAGAUGUUUAUCCGACUCACGUCACCGUACCGUGGCCUUGGUCGCGCCAUGUAGGCGAGGCAAAGUAGCUGUCGGAGUCGUCACCUGAUGGACUGUGGCCACGACCAUCCUGGUUGACUCUGCUAGCAGCUCAGGAACAGGUCCCGUAAAAACAAAAGCAGCUCAGGAACAGGAAUCUGGAUUAUGAGAGUCGUCGUGUCAGCAUUAUGUCAUCUCCCUAUUAAGAUUACUACGUCUCCAGUAAAUUCAGGCCGUGUUCUCACAAAAAAAAAAGUAAAUUCAGGCCGUGAAAGGCACACUGGAGAUUUCGGCCCGUUCACGGCGGGAAUCUGAAGAAAAGAUAGAUCCGCCUAACAAUUCGGCAUCGGCAAGUAUCAAGUGUGCAGGAACUUACGUCUAAAACAAAGGGUACAGGAACUAGAUCAAGACGCGAGGUUCCCCUUCCCAAACCGUUACGAUGCGACGUUCGAAGCCGAGGGCGAUCACCCAGCGGACGCAAUGCCGCCAGGAGGAGAUCCUGUCGCGGGUGCCCUACAGGUCGCUAUGCCGAUUCAAGUGCGUGUCCAGACUCCAGACCAUGGCUCGCCCUCUGCUCCGACCACGGCGUCCGCAAGAGGUCGCCGCAGACGCUCUCCGGCUUCUUCCAUUUUAACCGCGGUUGGCGCUUCCACAAUUUGUCCGGGAAAGGCCCUCCCAUGGUCGACCCCGACCUCCCUUUCUUGCGCGGCACCUACGGACACUUUGAGGUCGAACAAUGCAGCACCAGCCUUCUCCUCUGCAGAUGCUGGAAAGCACCCCAUCCUAAGCUACUCGGUUGGAAUUCGUUUCCGAAAGGCAGGGUUGUUGAGCGCUUCAGAUGGGGAAUUAUGUCGUCUGCAAUCCUGCUACUCGGCAGUGGGCUUUGCUGCCUCCUGUUCCUCCUGUAGAAUUGCACAACCAGAAGCAGGCAGAUGAUGACCUUUUCCGUGCCAUCACAGGCCACUACUUUUUGGGUUCUGAUCCAGCCGUUCCAUCACGCUUUGUGGUGUUUGUGCCCGUGUUUGGCAUCGGCCUGCCGAUGACAUGGAUCUACUCAUCAGAAACUAGAGAAUGGGCUUCCAUCCGGUGCCAGUUGGAUGCUUAUGUUAAUAAUCCACGGUGCUUCUUUUUGAAUGGCACUAUCCUUUAUUUUUGUAACUUCCUUUCAAUAGUCACGGUGAACAUGGAGGGAAAUGUGUGGCGGAAAUGAAAUUGCCACCUGCCAUGACAAACAUAUAUCUUGGUCCUUCCUUUGGGCAGUCCCAAGGAUGCCUGUAUGCUUGGCGGAUGUACGAUUGCCAACUCUCUGUUUGGGCUCUUGAGAACUAUGAUGGUGGACAGUGGACCCUAAGGUGUGUUGUUGGCUGCCUUGAACUGUUCGGAAGGGAUUGUCGCAAAGAAGACGAGGCCUCCUGGAUGUUUGCAAUUCAUCCAGGUAGGUAGAAAAGGGAAGAAAUGAUGGAGGGGAGGAGGAAGAGGUAAUAUAUAUAAUGGUUGUGGCGUUACAGACUUAGUAGUGGCGCACCAUGGGUGUGGUGCGCCAUUACUAGUUUUGAAAUUUCGAAACUAGUAAUGGCGCACCACACCCAUGGUGCGCCACUACUAACUUUGUUUAUUUUUUUGAAUUUGGAAGGCGGGAAAAUUACUAAUGGUGCACCACUACUAAUUUUUUUAUUUUUUCGAUUUUUUUGCCUUCAGAUCUUAAAAGCCUCGUAACUUUUUUCUGUUAGGUUUUUGAGGAUUCUAGAAAAUCGAAUACGGGCAUAGCCCGUCAAAUUCGGAUGUAAUAUUUCGAGUAGAUGAUUUUUCAUAUAAAAAACUUUUUCAUCGGAGGUCGUAUGCAAAAGUUACGACCAUUUUACCGAAACACGGCGGCCUUUUGCAAAAAAAUCCAAAAUUCAUGUUUGUUAAUUUUCCUAACAACUAGAACACAUAACACAUGGGCAUCUAUUUUUUGAAUCUUUUAUCAUUUUCUUUUAUUAAAAAAAACAAAAGACGAUCCAGGGGGUGUGUUUGUGUGUGCGAGACGUUAGUAAUGGCGCACCCCUCUCACACACACACGCAGGCACACCCCCACCAGACAUAGCAAUGGCGCACCACACCUAGGUGCGCCACUAUUAUGUAGCAUAGCUGUGGUGUGCCAUUGCUAUGUCUAAUGGGGAGGGGGAUGGACCAAAAAAAUAGCAAUGGCGCAUUGCUCAUGUAGUGCGUCAUUAGUAAAAACAUAGCAAUGACGCACCUGAUUCUGAUGCGCCACUGCUAUAUAGCAGUGGCGCACCAUCAUUGUGGUGCGCCACUAGUAGAGAUAUAAGCCUUUUUCUAGUAGCGUGGAAACUACUUUUUUUUUUUGAAAAGGAAGUUGAACCCCCGGUCUCUGCAUCAAUCGGUGCAUACAUUCAUCUUUAUUAAUUAUUCCACAAAGAUUUAACAAAAGCAUACAUCAAGCCACCCGAAGCCACCACUCACAUCUAUAAACUAUUUCUGAGUUGGAUUAUUGCAUUGUAAACUGAGGUAGCGUAUUUUACGUUUCCAAACAGCUCUGAGGGAACAAUGAUGGCAAGCAGACCUUCACGUACAUUAGUUUUGGGGAGCGUUGGGCUUGUAAUGUCGAUCGCGGUCUUGGAAAGUGGCAACAACCGGUUCUGGCUUAUGACCUCUAGCCCCUUGAAGUAUGUCUCUGCGAUAGAUGCACUCUACUAGCCAAAAAUUUGAAUGAAACUUACAAUACAAAUGUGGUAACCGUGUUUUUUUAUGGGUGUCCCAAGGGAGUGUGCUAUUGGACAAAAGCAUCGAGGAAACACAAGAGAUCAGAUCUUGUUGGCCGAAUCAUUGGUGACUUGGGACGAAAACCUUGUGCAAAGCUUCUUUGCUGAUCCUAUUGCGGAACAAAUUCUACAAGUUCCCAUAAGUCGUUUUGGGGGAGAUGACUUCCUGUCGUGGCCCCAUGACAAGCUUGGCACCUACUCGGUCAAGUCUGGCUAUAAUCUUACUCGUAGUGAGAACUUCUUCUCCUCUACAAGUGGAAAGGGCAAGGGUCUGGCUUCCAAUAUUCAGGUGCAAGAAAAAGGAGUGGAAGGCCCUUUGGUCAGUCAUUUGUCCAAACAAAAUGAAGAUUGUUUUGUGGCGUUUCGUGCAUGAUUGUUUGCCUACGGGUUUCCAGCUGGUGAGGCAUCACAUUCCAGCUGAUGAUGGCUGUUUUUUCUGCAACCGGACAGAGAGUGUGGAGCAUCUCUUCCUGCUGUGUCCCUUCGCUCGUUCCGUUUGGAAAGGGGUUAAAGAGGAGUUCAGUGUCAGCCUGUGUAGAAAAGACAUGGUUAAUGGCCGUCAAUGGAUGUUCGAUUUCCUGGCUCAUGCUUCGAAGCUCCAAGCUACUGUUGUGGCUAUCACUCUAUGGCAUAUCUGGGAAGCUAGAAAUGAGGUACGUAAUAAUGGUACCAAUGUGCAUCCUGCUAGAACUGCUUUAAAAGUUCGUGCCUAUGUCCGUAUGGUGUUGCAGCAUUGUUCUAAGCCUAAACCUGGUCCCAGGCGUGAGUCUUCUUCUUCAACUCUUAUUUGGACUCCGCCACCUGCUGGUGUGGUGGCUGUGAAUGUUGAUGCGGCGCUGUUCCCUUCUAUCCGACAGAUGGGCAUGGGCUUUGUGGCUAGGAAUCAUCUUGGGAAGUGCAUGUUUGCUGGCAAUGAGCAGCUUUAGGGCUUCUCUGAACCGGAGAUGGCUGAGGCGCUUGCCAUCCAGCGUGCUCUUGAGGUUUGUCGAUCUGAAGGCUGUUUGUCAAUUGUUUUGGCAUCUGACUGCCUCUCCAUGGUGAACAAAAUCAAGUCUCCGGCUCAAGAUCGAUCAAGAGUGGGCACUGUUGUCUCGGACAUCAAAUCUCUCGCGUCUGGGUUUACUCAAUGUUCUUUCUUACAUGUUCUCGUAGUUGUGAGCAUUCUGUUAAUCUUUUUUAUCUUGGUGUGGUUCCGGAUUGUAUCAGGGACGAUCUUUGCUGUGAUGUUCAGUAAUCAAUGAAGUACUGUUAAUCUAAAAAAAAGAGAUCAAGGUCAAGAUGGUCUUCUGUGAUGAUGACGGGAACAUAUCCGAGGUUCUUGUGCAGGGCAUUGAUGUGCAGGUUGAGCAGAUGAAGAAGGAGCUAAUGAUAUAUGUGAAUAUAUAGGAUAUUCGAGACAUGACCAAUAGUUUAAUAUCUAGUACUUCCUUUGAUCUAUAAUAAGUGUCGCAACACUUAUUUUGGUCGAAGGGAGUAGUAACCAAACAAACCGUUCAACCUAGGCUUUCAUGUGAUGCACAAACUGGCGAGAAGCAACAGAGAAAAGUUUGUUUACAGGACGGAUCAUGAACUUAUGUGCCCCAAAGCAAGUUGUGAUAGGGUUUUUUUUUUUUGACGGUAAAGUUGUGAUAGGUUAGCAGAACUCCAUCCAGUGGGUUUGGCACAAGGAAUCGAAUAGGUCCGUUCCCCUGGACUUGAUGAUGCUCGGACAGCACCGCAGCCUAAUAUAAUUAACUGUAGUUUGUAUAGAAAUUAGCCUGAAUGCUUGUUUUAUUAUCUCCCUAGUUGUAGCUUAAUUAGUAAACAGAAAUGUUUCGUUUCUCUUGCUUCAUAUUUUUGCUUAGCAAAUACCAGGUCCUAAUUAGCCAAAAUCUUCCUUCCACUAGGAUGGGCUGAAGACCGUGGGCAGUGAUCCAUGGCGUAUUUUCAGCACCACAUGCGCAAAGGUGUGACAUGGACUAUCCAGGAGUCGUCUCGGCAAACCAUUUGCCUGCAGCAUAAGUAAGGCUCUGUUCGGGAUCCCUUCUCACCGCUCCGACUCCGUGGAGUCGUGGAGCUCAGUUUUUGCAGCUCCGCGAAAAUAAUCCAACCACUUAAGCUGACUACUUGUUCAAACAUUGUUGAUGUCAGGAACUGAUCUGAUCUUCCAGAAUCCAGAUGUUCAUCCCACUCUCAGAUCAAUCGUCGUACCGUGGCCUUCGUCGCCCCACGUAGGCAGGCGGCACAAGGCGCUGUUGGAGUCGUCAUCACCUGAUUACUUCUACACGUUUUAGAUAUGUGAUGAUCACGGCUCUUGGUUGAUUGUGCUGAACAUGGACUUGAAUUCUGGGAGGCGUCAUGCCAGCUCCUUAUCAACACGCCUCCAGGUGAAAUUCAGGCGGUGAAAAUAAUUCAGUUUGACUAAUUCACAUCUAGAUGUUUUUUUAAGGAUGUUACAUCUAAACUUCCACAGAUAUAUAAUGCAGCAACAAAAAACAAAAAAAACUAGGACAAAAAAAUAGACCAUAAAAAGAGUGGACAUCAGUUUAGAUGUGACAUAACUAUGUCACAUCUAGAUGUGUCUUAGACAAAUCCAAAAUAAUUUAGCGGUUGGGAAAUCCACGAGAAUUUUACAAGAAUUUCACGAGAAACAAUUUGAUUACAGUACGACCGGAAUUAAGAACAAAAUAAAUAAGAUGUACCUAACGAUCAGAAUCAACUGGCCUGAAUGUUGAAGCCAUGCGUGCAUUUUUCAGCCCUUAAGCGUCAUCGGACGGCUUCCCCUCGCACGUUUCACUGGUCAUAGACUCGCUCGCACAAGGGAUCUCUACCUUCUGGAAAUUCUUGACCCUUUCAGUUCCAUCUUUUUCACCGUCACUUUCUCCUUACAAUUCACCAACCGUUGGCACAUGCCCUUGUGCGUCUUGAGUCGCUGAGCUCAUCUGAAUCUGGGCGAAUUGUGUCUGAGCGCGACGUGUCAACUUCACCAGCUCAUGCAGUAGCAUACUGGAGUAUCUCUCUCUUUUUUUUUUACCUGGAGGGCAUUCUCUCGAGAGCAUUAUCUCACGUCGUUUUCCCAAUAGAAGAAAAGGUGGAAUUCCCAUUAUCGGUGUUAAACAACAUAUUGUCACGUCAUAUAUGUUGUUACGUUCCAUAUCGCUUCGGCUAGAGGUUAGCGCAAGUAGAGAUAGAUAGGAUUCUCUUUAAGUGUUGUAAUCUCCUGAUCCUUUCUUCUCUUUCAAGAUGUAAACCUCCUGUAACCGAACUCUUUGUACGCAAUCAGGGUUUUGCCCCUGACCUAUAUUAACACGCAGGCUCGGUCUCAACAGGUACGACGCUUCAUAGAAAGUUUACAAUCGGAACGCGAAGCAUGCAGCGUCAGCAAUGCACAAUUAGUCAAUGUUUCUUUCAUUUUACGCAUCUGUGCUUUGAUCAGACCUCCAUUCGUCAUACCUAUGUUUAAGACGGACUCGGCACCCUGCUGAGCUCAACUGAAUUGGUGCAAGUUGUGCUGAGCUUGACGUGCUAACUGCAGUAAUUCUUUUUUAGCUGAAUGACAUUUGAGCAUGCAUCAGCAAUGGGUAGUUAUUCAACGUACGUAUGGAGAUAGUCAACGCUCAUUUCAUAUUUGUACUACUGCUCCAUCUUGAUUGGUGACACGCAGUGCCCUCAAGAGCGCAUAACAGGGAAAUCAAUGUUGAAGCCAUAGGAAAACAGACAGUGGUGCUGCUGGGAGAUUUCCAUGUUAAACGUUUACUUUGCCUGGGCUCAAGUUCGCAUGAUGAGCUCGGUUUUUGCUUUUUCAAAAACGAAGGCAAGAGAUUUGCCUCGUCGAUUAAUUAAACAGAAGAGAAAUUGUUCAGCUAAUUUUUGGGAGGAGGUUUCUCUUGUCAACACGAUCAGAAUAUCCGACACAGUGCCGUUUCAUGAAAACAUCCAGAGAACCAUGCAAAGCUAGCUGCUGUACAAUUGGAACGAACAUCAUUUACAUACAGUGCUAAAUACUCCAGUACAGUACAUCUAUCUUCACUCGUCGAUCUAUUUACAGGCGUGUGUGGUCGAAACUAAAUUCACUUGAAAUAAUUUAAAAUUAUCAUCGACUAGCUAACUAUCCCUAAUAGCAUCACCAUUACUGAUUGAUCCCAAGAGUCAAAAGGAGAAAUGAAAACAGGGAGAAAAGACUGCUAACUACGAACUCCCAAUCAGAAGGCCCGUCCCGUAUAUGCGUCUCCGAUUUGUCUCACAGCCAGAGCGCGCCGGCGUCCUUGAGCAUGGGCACGAGCUCGCCGGAGAUGUGCACGGCCAUGAGCCGGUCGAGCCCGCCGAGGAGCCUCCCGCCCACGAACACGGCCGGCAGCGCGAAAACGGCCUCGCCACCGGGAGCCCCGGCGAGCUCGGCCUCGUCGGCGACCUCGUGCACGGCGGGGUUCACCCCGAGCCCCUGCAGCAGCCGCUCCACCACGUGGCUGAGGCAGCACCCGCGCCUCCCCACCACCAGCACCGGGCUCUCCGCCACCGCCCUCCUCACCGCCUCCCCGCCAUCGCCUGCUCGCCUAUUCUCCUGACCAGCCGUGCCGACGACCUCGGCCGGCUCGGACCGCCGCGACCACGCCGGCAGCCGGGCGGCGCUGUACGGGAUCGCCUGGUACAUCUCGACGCCGAUCAAUUGAUGCGUGGUGCCGUGGUGUGUGCAGCUUGCGUACGUGGUGUGACGAGCAACGGGAGCGAGGCUGGACAUAUAAAAGGGAGGUGGCGUCACCCGACGACCAUCGCGAGCGCCGGCCAGGUGGGUAUGCGUUCUUCUCUUGGGCGGGCUCCAUGCGGCGAGGACGACGGCGACCGCGGCCUUUCCGCGCUCCGUGUGAUUGUGUGCAUGCAACGCGCCGUGACGUGUCGGCGGGUCAGCCGCGGUUGCGGGGCGGUUUGAUGGGCCCGGCUCGUGACGCGCGGCUACGUGGCGGGUCACGAUUGCCGGGGUGGCUGGCUCUCUCUUGCUCUCUGGUGGGCCCGCCCGUAGCCGGCUGGCGCAGGAGGACAUCGUGGAAAAAAUUUAGGAUCAGCUUGCUUCAAUUUUUUUCUAGGGGUGCCAACACCUUAUUGAUCUAUUUGGACAGUGAGAUGAGUGCGGGUUAAUGACAUAAGUGGCGACCCUGAUCAAGCAAAAAAGAGUGUUUGGCAAAGUUGUGUGCAUCAACAUUUGAUGCUCUACUUUCAAAAAUAAAACAACUAAUAAAAUUAGAUCUAAGAAGUGAUAUUUCUCUAAUUACUGUCAAAUAAGCUCCCCCUUUCCAUCAUGUAUGCCAUCUAUCACUGGUUUGCAAUCACACGCCACCAUGAAGUUCUUAAGAGAAAGGUCCUCUACAAGUGCUAGUGCCUCAUGGAAGGUUAUGGCCUCCAAGACUGCCGGAUUGGUAACUCCCAAAAUCACGAAGCUAUGUGUCACGGAAGGUUAUGGCCUCCAAGACUGCCGGAUUGGUAACUCCCAGAAUCACGAAGCUAUGUGUCACGGAAGGUUAUGGCCUCCAAGACUGCCGGAUUGGUAACUCCCAAAAUCACGAAGCUAUGUGUCACGGAAGGUUAUGGCCUCCAAGACUGCCGGAUUGGUAACUCCCAAAAUCACGAAGCUAUGUGUCACGGAAGGUUAUGGCCUCCAAGACUGCCGGAUUGGUAACUCCCAGAAUCACGAAGCUAUGUGUCACGGAAGGUUAUGGCCUCCAAGACUGCCGGAUUGGUAACUCGCGAAAUCACGAAGCUAUGUGUCACGGAAGGUUAUGGCCUCCAAGAUUACCGGAUUGGUAACUCGCGAAAUCACGAAGCUAUGUGUGACGGAAGGUUAUGGCCUCCAAGACUGUCGGAAGUGCUCGAAGAGGCCAAGUACAAGCCAUCAUGCAUGGCCUCUACAUACUGCUACCGAUGCUCCUACUCCAGUAUUGGAGAGCCCACAUCUACGUAGAUUUUCAUCCGCCCAAGCAGGGGUGGCUUCCACGCUGAGCUCGCUGAGUAGCAAGCCUAUAUGUUACAUGUUUGAUGAUGCGUUGGACAACACAUUGAUAGUAUCCAGCUUAGAAAUGAAGUGUUUCACGAAGCUAUGUCUCGCCAGUGGGUUUUUCAUACUCUACUUGUUCAGUAUUUCUAUACUCAUUCUUGGGUUCGUCUUGUCUUCAUGCCCUAGAUAACAAUACUUCCACCUCCUUCUCUCUCCCCUGGUUCCCGGGUGUGCUUCGUCCAUCCCCCAUGGCCUCAAGGACCGAAUCUCGCCCCUGUGGACUCCCACCGUCUUAGCCGGCCGUGGCCUGCUUGGUGGCGGCACGGCCCUCGGCGGGCGUGGGGGUGAGGCAUGCUGCUUCCUUUAGUUCCUGGUGGCGCAGCUACCCUAGGUGGCUGGCGGCCUUGGAGGGAGUUCCCAGCCGCCGAUGGAGGCUUGAUAUGGAAGAUCCAGCAAGCUCUUGACACGGUCUGAUGGUAUCCUUGGGCAUGGCCAGUCCCUCGUCGGUGACCCUUGGAGUUGCUUCUUGUGGGCACCCGGUAACCCAGAUCUAGGGUUCUUCUUCAUGCGGGUGCAAGUUGCAAUCUUUGGGGUGUAGUGGGUCGCGAAUUUGCGUCAAUGCGACAGCAGGGGUGGUCGGCCGCGUGCUUGCGGCCAAUCUCCAUGUGGGUGGUGGGUGAGGGUGGAUCCCCGUGGUAGUUGGAGCGAUGGCUUCGGGCGGUGGGCAUGGUGACACCAUUUCGGUGGGUGUUGCUGCGCAGGUGCUCGUGUGUCGCCUCGCCACUUGGGAGGCGAGGUGGAUCUCGGUGGGCGUCCGUCAUGCGGAUGUGUUAUUCACUGCCAACCCGCCUGGUUUGGGUGCUGUUCCAUCUUACCUUGGCCGACUAUGACUGAUGGACCUAGUUGGUAGGCGUCGUGUCCCGAGCGAAAGCUCUGCCCGACGAUGUCGGGGCCGGUGAUAGUGGUACUCAUGUGUGCCGCUACCUCCUUGGAGGUUUCAUCGUGGGUGACCUCCAUCCACUAUGGGCUCUGGGUGAAACCCUUGGUCUGGCAUGUUCCAGACCGGGCGGUGGUGUCGUUUCCUCCUUGGAGGCUCCGUCUUGUGAGCAAGGUCCCAUCUUGCCGGUCGUUGAGGUGCAUUAUGUAGAUGGCAGCUUGUUCUCGUCGUGUCUCAGUUAAUGUUUCAAAGACGUCGCACUCUUGAUGAGCUAGGUACGGCAAGGUGGCUAUGCUCGAAGGCCUUCCUUUGUUGUCUUGGUGCCAGCUUCCAUCUGCGCUCUAGGGUGGUGAGCACUCCAUUGUUCGAACGGUGGGACACCCUUCGAGCCAGGGCAAGGAGCUGGGAGCCCCUAUUCGCGAUGGAACAAGAUGACGUUGUUCUACCAGACGCCCAGGCGAUGGGAAUGGCAUAGCCUCCUCCCCCGGCUGGUCUUCUUCUUGAGUUGGCUUCCUUCGCAGUGUUGGUCCUCUGAUCAUGUUUGAGGGCUCUAAUUUCUUGUAUUUUUAGCUUUGUUGCUGCUCGCGGGCACCUAUGCAUUUUGCUGGAGUUUUUCUUUUCUUUUGUUGAGUUGUACCAUUGGUUGUAAGGUUGUAAGGAUUUCAUUAAUUUAAAACCUGACGCCAGCCUCUUUUCAUUUCAAGUUCAAAUGGGGAAUACCCACAUGCUACGCACGUAGGUACUCCCUCCGUCCGUGAAUAAGUGUACAUCUAGUUUUUGUCCUAAGUCAAAGUUUUAAAAUUUGACCAACUUUAUAAAGGAAAAGUAGCAGCAUUUAUGACACUAAAUUAGUAUCGCUAGAUUCGUUUUGAAAUGUACUUUCAUAAUAUAUCAAUUUGAUGUCAUAUAUACUACUACUUUUUUGUAUAAUAUUGGUCAAAACUUUAAAACUUUGACUUAGGACAAAAAUUAGGUGUAUACUUAUUCAUGGACGGAGGGAGUAGUACUCUACCAAAUUGCUAGCGUCUAGCAGCACACCCAGUGCGGCCGGCGUUCACCGGCCGGCCGGGGAAAUGACGGCUGUCCCGUGGCAUGCAUGCGAACGGCUGACGGCGCGCUGCUCCAGUAAAACUAGACAUGACAACAGCGCUGUCGGUCGUCGUUUCCCAUCGCGCGGUAAAGUUGGGUGUGUGAGAUUUUUUUUUUGAACAGUCACCGGGGGAGAGCUCCCCACCUGAAUUUGAUCUCAUUCAAAGAAAAAUUGAUGCAGUUUAUAAGAAAAAUCAGAUCGAAAAUCUUAACAAAAUUGACCCGUUUAUAAGAAAAAUCAGGUCGAAAACCAUACAAGUGAAGAUGAGAAAAAUGGAUGCCUGGAACAUGGCCCGACCUAGUUCGCAGACUGAAGGUCCAUCACCAUGAGAGGCACAAGUAGAUGUGGGAUACUGUAGAAGGAUCACAAUACCAAGACUUUGCAAGCAGCCUAAUGCACCGCACCGGAGUGCGUACUAAACCCCGCGGCACAACACAAGAGCAUAUAUGAUCAAGAGUGCUACAUGAACACGAACCUUGACUGCGAGCUCUGCCAUAGGAGUUCAGAACGAUUAACAACUUCGGGAGGUGGCUUGCAUCAUCAUUGAGCAAAGAAGAACCGGGACAACACCAAUAACACGAAGCUCGCCGCACCACAACAGCAGCCAUGGGAGGGACUUGAGCAAGCACAACAACAUGGAUGACAGCGAAGGGCUUGACGAAGAGGCAAAGUCGACGGUGGUAUGAGAUGGCCGGGAAGGAGAUGGGUGGAUUGACGCAUGGAUUCUUGCGACACCUUCAAAAAGGUUAAUGACACCCACGGACGCCAUCAUUACAGGGCUUUCGCCCGAGUCCACUGCUGUGCUGGGACCAAAGUGCUGGGACUCCACAGCAGCACCUUCAAGAAAAGGAAGCGGCGGCGUCGCCGUUGCUGCGGCUAGCAAGGAGCUAGGGAAGGGAUUUCUCCCGGAGACAGAGCAGCAAAAGGUCUUCCGCAGACACUACACCACUGGCAACAAAAUAACUCGAAUCACGAAAAACAAGAGAGAUGCAUGGAUGGAUGAACGUAGAUACAAGAGAUUAACGGCCACUUCUUUCUUCAUCAUUAAUUAACAAGUUGUUGACGGAACAGGGUCUUACACACGUAGUACAUGCCAAACUUCAGAUCCUUAAACAGACUCAAAGUCCCAAGCAGAAGAGAAUCAUGCUAGAUAGUACUUACUAGUACUAGUAGCCAGGUACCAUCAAACACAAAGCAUGCAUAAAACAACACACGAUGAAGUAGAAGAGAACUGAUGAUGAACUGGCCAUUUCUGCUCGUACAAGCAGAUCCAAGAAUGCUACUAGCUCCAAUUCCGUCCGUACGUCGUCCUCUGGCGCAUGUCCUCUCCACAGCAAACCUUCUUCCACGGGACGCCAACGGAAUCGCCGAGGACCACCACCUAGGCAAAGACAUCCGGCCGGCAGAUUAGCCCGGAUGGUACAAGCAC
rnacentral:lncRNA from 1 species